AAAUGGGUCCCUAGGCAAUUCUCUUCCUGUGCCUUUUGGCUGUAGUUUUGAUGAUUGCCUCAGAUGUGACAGCUAGGGAUUUGGCUGAAAAUAGUAAGAUAUCCAUUCAAGAACUUAUUUUUUCCUUUCUCAAUAAUUGUAUAUCUGUUAAAUGUAGACUUAUUUGCGUGAUAUAAAUUAAUCUACAUUUUUGCCUUCUUUUUGGUUAAGAUUUUGCUAGAAUGGGUGCACUAAGUAACAAAUUCUACAUGAUCCUGUGACCAUUUGCAGACAAAGCAUCAGAUAAGAGUACUAAUGGCCUAAAAGAGUCCAAGUACCCUGGUGGUGGAUAUGGAGGGUACCCAGGUGGCGGCUAUGGAGGGCGUGGUGGUUAUGGUGGCAGCGGAUAUUGCCGCUAUGGUUGCUGUGGCCGAAACUAUUAUGCUUAUAUGUUGGUGAGGCUGUGGAUGCUCAGCCAGAAACCAAGCCGCAGAACUAAAAGCUAGCCCUUAUGCAUUAUGAUGCCUCAAUGCUUUGGUGCAAAUUAUGUGUCUAAAAGUUUUCAAAAUAUGUGUUGUGCGAUAAGAAUAAGAGCUUAAUCAGUGGUAUCGAUUCGCCACCAGUUGAAUGUUUGCAAAUAAGGUUGCACUUUUUUAUUCUUUUUUCGUGAAUUCAGUUACAUGGGAAUGAAAUUCCAUGUUUGUUUCGAGUUUGAACAGGCAGCACUUCUGCUUUAAUUCCCAAAACAUAGUCACAUGCUUUUUCGUCUUUACUUUAUCCCCUUCAAUUUUUUUUUGUUUUUGGAUUCAUUGUCCAUAAAUGAUGCCAGCUUAUUAUUCUUUUCCUUGCAGCUAGUUUGUUUGAAUUAAAAUUCAAGAUAUAGGUAAGGAACAGAUGGAUGUUUGAUUCUUUCUACUGGUUAAAAAAGAAAAUUUUGAGAUAAAAGAGAAAAACAUGCACAGGGUGUUUUUGACAACAAUGUCUAAAUUGUGCCAAAAAUUAUCAACGAAUAUUUGCCGACAAAUUCUUUUAGACAUUAACAAGAAAUUCAUUAAAGGUGAACUUCAAUGCAGCUAUAUUUAGAGGGUUGAAUAUCUAUGGAAUAAAAGUAGUUGUUAGGGAUCAUGAUGGAAAGCUCAUAGCAGGAAUGGCUAAGCAAUUUGUGGGAUUUUGCCUCUUCGGAAAUGGCAGGGAUGAAGGCAGAUAUGGAGGCGCUGGAGAUAUGUCUAAUCCAGCUUUGGUUUUCCUGCAUUUUUUAGAAUAGUAUACACUCAACCACUGUGCCAGCAGUUAAAUCAUAGGGAGGAGGAUUUGUUAGAUUUAGGUCAUUUAGUUAAUGAUACGUUCAUUGUAAUUUGUGAGAAAAGUUUACUUGAUAUCACAAAAAUAAAUAAAAACUGUAAAUUAUAUAUAUAUAUAUAUAUGAUCAUUUAUGAACGGAAUAUGAUCAAUUAUGAGUAGAUCAAUUUAUGAACGGGCUAUUGUGCAACAAACUUCAAUGAGGACAAAAUUUGUUCUUUGAGAUUUAUUAGUUUUUUGUGUUGCUAAAGUUCAUGAGAUUAGAUAGUCCUAACGUUUUAUAAGAACCAUUAUUUUGCCUUCUAAACAUGCUGAUGUGUAAGUGUUAUCCCGAAGUCUAAAAUUCUGCAUACUCUAAAGCUUUUUUUUUUUUUUUUUUUGUAUAGUUGCCAAUAGCACAAUAUUUGGUCUUUCACAGACUAGUCAAGGGAAAGUGAUACUAGUUCGAGGCUACAAAAUGGUGUUAGUCCAUCAACAAAAUCUGCUGUAUGCUUUUAACAUGAUUUUUGGUAUAGCUGGUAUAAUAAUUUGGGUUUUAUUAUUUCUGCUCAGCUCGUAUACUAUAUUCGACGCAUAGACAAGUAAGGGUUUUGUUUAAUAUAUUUUUAGUCAAACAUAUAACCAAACCGAAUAGAGUGUGAUUUUGUCAAAUCUGUUGUCACCAAUGCCUGGACUAGAUUGGUUAAUUAAGUAUACCCAAAAAAAUAGAAAAAUGGAAAAAAAAAUUGCACUUUGAUUACAUGAUGGUUUACUGAUUUACAGAUAAAUUAACCAUAAUUAGCCUUGAUUUUGUUGUAUCUCUGAAAUACUAACAUUAAACAUUUUUCUGUGCAAAGCUACUAAAAUGACUUCAUAUUGGAUAAGAAUAUUUUUCCAUCACACCAAAAGUGCUCAUAAAAUAGACAAAUAAUUACACAUUAAUUAACACAACUGAAAUAUUGAACUAGCAAGCAAGUACAUAGAAACUGCAUAUUACAAAACACUAAUCAAGCCCUUAUUUGUAUUUCACACGACAAAGUACAUACUAUCACACUGAGCCUGUUUCAUUACCGAGCUAGAAGGUGGCUUUUUUAGUUUUCAGGCUCAGUAUACACAGCCUGACCAGGAUGCAUGAUAGCAGCACCUACAGCCGCCGCCGUAAUAACUUCGGCCGCAGCACCCAAUGCAGCAAUAUCCACCAUAACCGCCACGACCGGGAUACCCUCCAUAUCCACCCCCAGGAUAUCUACCAUAACCUCUUCCUGGAUAGCCCCCAUACCCGGCACCAGGUUAUCCUCCAUAACCACCUCCAGGAUAGCCGCCAUACCUUCCUCCGGGGUACCCUCCGUAGCCUCCAAGGUACUUGGCUUCUUCUAAACCAUUUGUCUCAACUGUCUUGGCUGCAACGAGGAUAAAUAGGGCAUGCAGGUUAAUUACUGUACUGGCAAUUUGGAAUUGUGAAAUUUGCACCAGCUUGUCUACAUGCUUCUAGGUCACCUAAUACCAUGUAAUGGUACUUCUAGUUAUGAUCUGAAUAGGCUAAGAAGGUAGAAGAGUGUAGCAGAAAGAUUCGUAGAGAAGGAGGAGAAGUGUGAGAGAGAAGAGAGGAAAGGAUAGAGCAAUAGGUAAGUAAACUGAAUUUGUUAUAUCUGAUAACAUGCCUUUUCGUCCCCUUUAGGCUUUAUUUAUACAGAAUGCUCCCUCUAGAUCCUUCUGCAACUAGCCAAUCUCUUAACAGAAUGAGCAUGCAUACAUGCAUGCCUUUGACAGCCAGCUGACUAACUAACUAACGGAAAUGCUAACUAACUAUCUGAAAAGGAAAACAUGGCAGAUACAUUUCUGCUCAGAAAUAUCUAGUGAAAAUAUCUAGGGUCAUUACAAUACCUCCCCCUUGAGAAUCCUAGUCACUAGGAUUUGAGCUGGAAAUCUGGAAACUGUGAUUGUAUCACCGUGACAUCCUCCCAAGUUGAGUCUUCAGUGCUUAGGUUCACCCAUUUGAUCAACACUUGAGUCACCUUCUGCCUUUUCCUUAUGAUUUCACGAGUAGCAAUCACCCUUUCAGGGGCAAUUUUAAUCUGUCCAUCCGUAGUCGUCAAGGGUAACUCCUGAGUCACAACCUGAUUCUUUGCAGAUGGUUUAAGCAGGGAGACAUGGAAGGUAGGAUGUAUCAAAGAACCAGCAGGUAAUUCUAGUCUGUAGGCCGCAUUCCCCACCUUUUGAAGGACCUUGUAAGGGCCAUAAUAACUUCAGAUUUCUUCGGACUGCUACUGAAGCUUGUCUGUAAGGCUGCAAUUUCAAAUAGACCCAGUCUCCUACCUGAAAACUCCUUUCAAUUCUUUUUUUGUCAGCGAACUGCUUCAUUCGAUUCUGAGCCUUGAUUAGAUUACCCCGCAGCAGUUCAUUCCAUUUCCUUCUAUCUCCUAGCCAAUGUUCCACAGCAGCUACUGGAGUCUCCAAGCCAUUGAGGCCUAGUUGCGAGGGUGGAUAACCAUACAGAGCCUGAAAAGGAGUCAUCUUUAAGGCUGUGUGAUGGUUGGUGUUGUACCACCAUUCAGCAGCUGCUAGCAAGGACUUCCAUUUGUGAGGCUGUUGGAAACACAAACACCUCAAGUAUGUCUCUACACAUCUGUUCAGCCUUUCUGUCUGCCCGUCGGUCUGGGGGUGGUAGGCAGUGGAGUAAUGCAGCUCAGUACUUAGCUUCCCAAACAACUCCUGCCAGAACAUGCUAGUGAACAGCCUGUCUCUGUCCGAUACAAUGCUCAGAGGUAAUCCGUGCAAUUUGUAGAUGUUAUCAAAAUAUAUGUUGGCUAUUGAAUGUGCUGUAUACUUAGAGGGCAGUGCUAUGAGAUGAUAAUACUUGGUGAACCUGUCGAUGACCACCAGUAUCCCUUCAUAUCCGUGAGAUUUGGGUAAUCCUUCUAUGAAGUCCAUUGAAAUAUGUUGCCAUGCUUGCUCAGGAAUAGGAAGGGGUUGCAGUAGGCCUGGUGCCUUACAGUUUUCAACUUUGCUCCUUUUACAGAUAUCACAUUCCUGCACCCAUUCUUCUACCUUCCUUCUCAUCCCUGGCCAGAAGAAUGGUCCCUUCAACCUCUGAUAGGUUCCCAGAUAUCCUGAAUGACCCCCAAGGUGCGAGUCAUGGAAGCAGGCUAUCAACUUUUGUCUCAAGUUCCCUGACGCUCUAAUGUACACCCUGCCCUUAUACCUGAGCAAUCCCCCAACAAAAGAGUAAUUUGGGAGAGAAUCUGGUGUAAUAGCCAAGGUUUCCAUUAAUUUAGUCACUGCAUUAUCCCCUUGGUAGCUUUCCACGACUUCAGACAGCCAUGCAGGUUUCAUGACUGAGAGACUGUGUGUAGAACUGUCCUCUUCAUAGUCUCUUCUGGACAGUGCAUCGGCCACAAGAUUUUCUUUCCCUUUCUUGUACUGUAUUUCAUAAUCCAAUCCUAACAAUUUAGUAAGCCACUUUUGCUGAAGGGGGGUAGUUAUCUUCUGCUCCAAUAGGUAUUUUAAGCUCUGGUGAUCUGUCUUGAUAAUGAAGUGAUUCCCCAACAAAUAAUGCCUCCACUUCGAUACAGCUGUGAUAAGGGAUAACAACUCUUUCUCAUAUAUGGAUAACCCCAAGUUCUUAGGCCCCAAGGCUUGACUGAGAUAGGCAAUAGGCCUUCCUUGCUGCAUGAGUACAUCUCCUAUAGCCUUAUGACUAGCAUCUGUUUCUAGAACAAAUGGUAAGGAAAAGUUAGGAAGUGCGAGGACAGGUGUGCUACUCAUCAGUUGUUUGAGUUUUUGGAAGGCUAGCUCAGUAUGUUCACUCCAGUGGAAAUUUUCUUUCUUCAGCAACUCCGUAAGUGGCUUGGCAAUGAUUCCAUAAGCUCUCACGAACCUCCUGUAAUAGCCUGUAAGUCCCAAAAAUCCUCUCAGGGCCUUCACUGAUGUAGGUGCAGGCCAGUCCAUCAUGCUGAUGUAGGUGCAGGCCAGUCCAUCAUGCUUUUGACUUUUGAGGGGUCUGCCUGUACUCCAUCACCACUGAUAAUGUGUCCCAAAUACUCCACUUGAGACUGUCCAAAGAUGCAUUUGGAAAACUUGGCAAAUAGGGAGCAAGAUCUGAGUGUUUCUAGGACAGUUUUGAGGUGUGAAAGGUGAGUGUUUGGGUCCGGACUAUACACAAGGAUGUCAUCAAAAAAUACUAGCACAAAUUUUCUCAAGUAAGGUUCGAAUACAUGGUUCAUCAGGCUUUGAAAGGUGGCUGGUGCGUUAGUAAGGCCAAAUGGCAUAACUGUGAAUUCAUAUAGUCCAAGGUGAGUUUUGAAGGCUGUUUUUGGAAUGUCAUCCAUGUACAUUCUGAUUUGAUGGUAUCCAGCUCUUAGGUCAAUCUUAGUGAAGAGCUUAGCACCAUAUAACUCAUCGAGUAAAUCAUCAAUGAUUGGUAAGGGAAAUUUAUCUUUGAUAGUCGGGUCAUUUAGUUGUCUGUAAUCAACACAGAAUCGCCAAGUUCCAUCUUUCUUUUUAACUAACAGAACUGGAGAUGCAAACGGACUAUGGCUGAGCUGGAUAAUGCCACUACUAAGCAUGUCUUUGACCUGUUUCUCUAUUUCAUUUUUCUGGUUGUGCGGAUACCUAUAGGGUGCUAACUUGAAUGGUUUGGCAUUUGGUACUAAAGGAAUUUGGUGGUCACAGUUUCUGGAAGGGGGAAGGGAUUUUGGCUCCCCAAAUACAUCCUUGUAGUCUGCAAUUAGAGCAUCUAGGGACUGUUGAAAAGUAGUAUCCAACUGAGUUACAGUGUGUACCUGAGUUCCACUCAUCCUCAGCCCGCAGGCAUGCUUCCAAAUUCUGGUGCUUAGUCCCCCCUUCUCAGCAUUGUCUCUAGGAAAUUUAAGGACGGCCUCCUUAGACUCUCCUUGUAGCAAGAUCCUUUCCCCUUCCUUAUCAAAUGUCAUGUUCAACUGCCUGAAGUCAAAGGUGAUGGGGCUGUGUGCAGCCAUCCAAUCCACACCUAUGAUCAUAUCAUAAGGUUCUAAGUUAAUGAUAAACAUGUCAUGAGUGAAUGGUUUACCUUGCAUUUCCCAGUUCAUGUUUGGAAUCAUCCUACUACAGGUCAAAUACUCCCCAUUAGCCAUCUUGACCUUGAAGGGCUUGAUAGACUAAACCAUCCCUGGAAAGAGUUGAGCCACAGUAUUUUUGACAAAGCUGUGAGUACUUCCCCCAUCUACCAAGAUUGAUAGGGGGGUUCCUUUGAACAGCCCCUGCAGUUUGAUGGUAUUGUAAGUCAUCUUCCCCGUCAGUGCAUGUAUUGCCAUUUCCACUCCUUUGGCCGACUGUGCCCCUUGGUACUCAAUUACCUCCCCUUCCUCUAGAUCCUCAGGCCUAUCUUCUACUGCGACAAGCAGAUGAAUCUCCUUCUGCCUACACUGGUGACCUGGACCAAACUUUUUUCCACACUUGUAGCAAAGAUGAUGUUCCCUCCUGUACUGCAGUUCUUCUGGUGUGAUUUUCUUGAAAUGUUGAGGUGUUUUUUUGACGGCAUUGGCAAUGACAGGUUUGGAAGGUGCCACAUUUUGCUGAGCAGCAGCCUGCAUGGAGUUUCCCCAGGCCAUGGCCCUCUGAUGAGGUUUGUGCUUCCUGUGGUAGGCUUCAAAGGCAUUCUCCUGUAGUCUGGCCAACUCAAAGGCUUUGGACAAUGUCCUAGGGUCGUGAGCUUUCACCAUCGAUCUCAAUUCAUCUGGCAGUUCACUCAAAAAACAGGAAAUAUAAUAGUUUUCUGGAAGGUGUGGGGCUCGAAUCAUUACCUCUGAUAACAGCUCCUCAAAUUUUUCUUGAUAUGCUAGGACUGUGGAAGAGAGUUGCAACUUGUUGAAUUCCUCCACUGGGUCCAUCUGUCCUAAGGUUCCAAACCUCUUACACAGUUCUCCAGAAAACUCCAUCCAAUCCACCUUGUUACCCUUAGUAGAUCUGAAUCCUUGAUACCACACUGCCGUUUUCUCCUCCAAGUGGAACUCUGCCAACUCCAUCCAUUGCUCCUUGGGAAUGUGCAGAAGCUGGCAAUAUUUCUGCAGUUUCCUGAUCCAUUCCCUAGGAUUGUCUCCCCUAAAUGCUGGAAUUUCCAAUUUAGGCGCGCUAGCGAAGAAGGCACUCCUAGCAUUCCGUUCUCCUUGUUCCCUACUCCCCAGGUCUGAACUUCUGGAGUGACUUCCUUCUGGAGAUCCUAAUAUGCCUUUCUCUGGAUUUCCACAGUUCAAGCUGGAGAGCUGCUGCGAUAUGGUUGACAUGAACGCAUCUAGCUUAUUGCUCAGCUCAACACUCACUGCAUCCAACCUAUCCUCCAUGCUCUGCUUGUCUGCUGCCAAGGAUUCCAGAAUUCCUUGAAUCUUGCUUUCUUGCCUGCGGAGCUGUUCCUCCAUCGUCUUCAUCCUUGUUCCAUCCGCCAUUGUGAUAUGUCAAUCUAAGCUUCCUAGUCCAAGGACCGGAAGCUCUGAUACCACUUGUAAUGGUACUUCUAGUUAUGAUCUGAAUAGGCUAAGAAGGUAGAAGAGUGUAGCAGAAAGAUUCGUAGAGAAGGAGGAGAAGUGUGAGAGAGAAGAGAGGAAAGGAUAGAGCAAUAGGUAAGUAAACUGAAUUUGUUAUAUCUGAUAACAUGCCUUUUCGUCCCCUUUAGGCUUUAUUUAUACAGAAUGCUCCCUCUAGAUCCUUCUGCAACUAGCCAAUCUCUUAACAGAAUGAGCAUGCAUACAUGCAUGCCUUUGACAGCCAGCUGACUAACUAACUAACGGAAAUGCUAACUAACUAUCUGAAAAGGAAAACAUGGCAGAUACAUUUCUGCUCAGAAAUAUCUAGUGAAAAUAUCUAGGGUCAUUACAUACCAUAUUGAAAAUAUCAUAGCCAUUUGAAAUUUUUCCUUUUAAUGUGUAAGGGAAAAUAUUUUAUAAAAACUUAAAAAUGAUUCAUCACUGUGGAUUGAUGGCUAGUUUUAUUAUCUCACAGUAGUUACUAAGUUUAAUCUUACACAAUUAGUGAUUUUUUUUUUUUAAUGCCAGCAGGAUUUGAGACAUGUCAUAUGUACAAAAUGAAAAUCUCAAAUUUGAAUAAAAGUGAUAUUUCAUCUAUACAGACAUGUUGGAAUAAUAAAAAAAAAUUUACGCUAAAAGUAAAGGGACAAGAAUUUAUUGUAAUUACUAACCACUACUCCCCAAGAUCCACUUCUUAUAAGACUUAACAACUAUGCGGACACCGUAUCUAAGGUGUAUUUAAACUUUAAAGUACACCUCAGCUAUGUUUCUCAGUACUUGGAUCCUACACAUUUACCACCAAAAUUAAUACAUAACUUGAAAUGUUAAUUUCUAUGGUUAUUAAUUUUAAAUUAACACAUGCUACACACAGAUUAAGGCAGUUAAGAAGAAAUUGGAACUUGAGUUAGAGAAUAAAAUCUCACAAUUAUCAACUGAAUUGGAAGUCUCAGCCAAAUCCGUAGCAGCCACCUCUGAGCUAAUGAUUACAACUAUAGCCAGGGACAUGCAAAGGAAAAGAAUUGUCUUGGGACUCAUUUUUUUGUCAAGGUUUUUUUUUUUUGUCAAGGUAUUUUAUGUAUUGAAAACUGACUUUGGGAAGGAUGAGAAAGCUUGACCACUAUUUAUAGGAAAAUCUAUGCCACAUUCCCUUCAAAAGGGUCGUGGCGUUGGCCCACGAUGUAGUUGGGCGUUGAAGAGAUGGCAACUGCAAUCGGCACAGAGUCCAUAUCAACGUAAUUUGCAGUCCCUUUAGUGGAUCAAAGUAAAGAAUUAGAGAUACGUACCAAAAGCAACGACUGCAUUUCUUAUGUCUUGAGACAGAGAAUUUAUGCAUUCUGAAGAGGAUAAGAUUAAUGUCCUGCACUCGCGAAUAUGUCCAAGUAUUAUAUAUCGCCAAUUUUGACUUUGAAGUGACUACGAUCGUUUAUAUUUAUUACAUGUUGAUUGAACAAGUAGCCCAAAAAAAAAAAUUUUCUUGCCCAAAAAAAAAAAGUUGAUUAAACGAGUCAAACAUUUUUUGAGACAGAAAAGAAACGAAGAAGAACAUGCCAAACUUUGGAAUAGGUUCAAAGAAGAAUGGUGGGCUGUAUUAUUAUGUUACAUUUUGCAUUACAAAAGAACAUGUCAAGGAACCUAAUUGCAGCACGCACAAAUUGUUUGUUCUCGGUUCAGUCAAUUGGUCUAUGCAACAAUAAUGAAACACAGAGAAGAAAUGAAGAGGGGUUGCUAGUGGGGGGGAAGAGCAAAUAGGGAGGAAUUGGAAGUGGUAGGCCUGGAGCCCUAGACAAGGGUGGAGAAAGGGAGGAGGUGGAUUGGCUAUGGAGGAAGAAACCAUAGGGGGCUUUGCUAGUGGGAGGGUAAGGGAGGAAGAGAGGAGUGGGAAGAUUAAAUAGUGGCGGAGAAAGGUCGAACAGAUGUCAACCGUAUAAAUGUAAAUAGGGUUGUAUCUUGAGCGAUUGAUUUGAUUUAUUUCUUUCCAAAAACAAAGAAUUAAAUGAGGAUACACCAUAUGCACUUAGAGUCUGUUUGAUAACAUAAAAAUGUGUUGAAUCUAAAUUUUUUCAGACAUUCAGAUGUUUUGAGUGUUUGAUAAAUGAAAAUCUAUUUGCUGAACUUGUUAAGCAAUGCUGAACCUGUGUGUAUUUUUUUCAGCACAAGAAUCCUAACUGAAUGCUUAAUUCUGAUAAGAAUCAAUAGAAUUAUUUCAACUACCUUAUCUUAUCUACCAAAUCUACCCUUAUUUGUUAAUUAUGUUCAAAAUUCUUAUCUAAUUAAACAACAUAAUAUUUUCUAUCUAACGAUUUUUAGUUUCUCUUUUCUCCCUUUUUAAUGACUUUCACAUCUUCUUCAUACUCCUCAUAUAAUAUAUUUUAUCUUUUAUAUUAAUUUGAUUUAAAAAUAAAUAUUGUCAUUUUCAUACCUAACAAUUUUAAACUAAUUAAAUCAUAGAUUCUAUUUCUUUUUUGAAUGAAAGGAUAUAAGGGCAAAAUUGUCAAAUUAAACUUAUUAAGCAUUCAGUUAUAAAUAUUUAUCAAACAGUAUAAAUAGGUUUAGCAUUAAAAUUCAGACAUUCAUAUAUUUUUUUCAGUGCUUAAAAUUCAGUAAAUUAAUUAUUUCAGUAUUCAGAUUUCAGAAUUCAGACUUCAGAUUUCAGAUUCAGUUUUAUCAAACGGAACCUUAGUCUAGUCAGUCUUGUGCAGUAAGUGAUUAAUACAUCAAAAGUAAAACGGAAUGAAUUUGGCAAGCAAGUCCAUCAAAUUAAGGAAUGUGAACUCAAUAGUCAAUAGUGAUAAGAUGGUUUUUCUUCCCGGACACGUUUCAGUCAUUAUUAGGGAUGUUAGUGAGCCGAGCUACUCGCGAGCUACUCGCGAGUAGCUCGGUCAACAACUCGACUCGAACUCGGUCAACCCGAGUUCGAGUCGAGUUUCGAGUAGCUCGACUCCACAUCGAGUCGAGUUUCGAGUCGCAUUUUCUGGGCUCGUGGCUCGUCGAGUAGCUCGACGAGCCGCGUUAAAUAUUUUAUAAUUUAAAUAAUAUAUAUUUAUUAUAAUUAUAAAAUGACCAUUAUGGGUAUAAGUUUUAUGGAAUUUACAAUAUACCCUUCUUUAUAAUAAAAUCCUAUAAUGGCAAAAAAGUAAUAACAUAAUUGUAAAAAACACUAAAAAGAAAAAAUGUCUACAAAAAAAGGAAGAAAAGACUUUCUUCCUUCUCUGUGCGACUUUCUUCUCCGUUCGAAGAAAGCCUAGCAAAAAAAUUCACUUUACCAGCCGGCAGCCACUGAGUCUGACUGAUUUAGAUCUACACCCUCACUCCGUUCGUCGCCGACGCCGUUGCUCGCCGCAUCUGUGAGACUCCAUCGCCAUCGCCAUCGCCUUAACAAGUCCCAAGUCCCAAGUCCCAAAUCGAAGCUACUCUCUGCCUCUCCGGCCUCCGCCAGUCCGCCGCGCUCUACGUCUCCUGUCGGCUGUGUCCUGCCGUGCUAGUUCAUCGCUGCCGAGUGUCGAAGACGAAGCACCAAGAUCUCACUAGUUCAUCGCUGGUUCAUCACUGCUCAUCUCUGGCUCACUUAGGUAAGUGCUCCUCUGUUUUUGGCUCUGUGUCUCUGGCAUUAAAAUGGGCCAAGAUCGACUAGGAAACUUGUUAUCCUGAAUUGAUAAGGGGACGAAAUCUGAGCUUCCAAUUGCAAACUCUAACUGUUGUAGUAUCCCGCCGCCCUCGAACUGUACUCGGACGAGACAAUUUUGAACGUAGAUUGAAUGGCGUAUUCUUUUCUGACUCGGGCAACCAAGAAAUUUAGUAGUAAAACUCAUGGAAAUGCUAGCUAGGAAGUUCAUGGCCAACCAGUUGUCAAGAACCAUGGCAUUGCAAUCGAAUCAAGAACCAACACACCCACGAACCCCCGGCCGUCGCCAACAAAAACAAAAACAGAAAAAAAAGGGGAAUAAUGGAAUAGGUAGCGGGACGGCAAUGAAUCAGUUGUGCAGCCUUUAAAAGUUAAGGCCUUGGGGAAAAAGUUAAUGUCUCCCCUUCCCAUUGUAAACAAAAAGGGAAAGUGAGUUGGUUUGUUUUAUAUAUUCCUCUUGUUUUCUUCAGUAGAAUGAUGCCAUUCCCUUAUACCACUAGUUUGUGUGUUAAUUUAUUGCUUAUAUCAGUACUAGUUCCAUGUUAACAUAUUAGGAUUUAAGAUUCUGUUUCGUUUUCACUGGUCUGUCUUGUAAUACUUCAUCUGAUCACAAGACUAUAUAUGGUGACACGAUACAGAGUUUGAUAUUGAAUUCUUCAAAAUUUGUUGGAAAGUUAUAUCAAAUUCCUAUUCCCUUUUUUUUUUUUUUUUAAACAAAAAAGAAAGUCCUGUCCCCUUGUUUUCGGUUCCAGUUGGACUUCCAUGUAUUUUGUUUUGAGUCAUGCAUUUUGUUGAUUUUUGGCCAGAAAAUUUCAUGACUGGUUAUCGGGUAGUUUUCAACCGCGAGAACAUGACUUUGGGAUGGAAGCCAUCUAACUGUGAGUGUUCACUUUUUCUUUUGCCUCAUGCAACAACAUAUUAGAAGUUUGCAACUCUCUGCCCAUAAAUGAAAGCAUUGUUCUCAGGCUACGAUGAUGUGCAAAUCGAGUCAAAAAGCUUGAUAAGACUCGACUUGAUAAGGCUUGAUUAAAGAUCGAGCCUUAUCGAGUCGAGUCUCGAGCCUAAAUGAAAUUCUUCGAGUCGAUCUUCGAGUAUCGAUUUUCGGGCUCGACUCGAGCUCGAGCUUCUGUGUGUAUGAGUCGAGUCGAGCUCGAGUAUAGCGAUACUCGAGCUCGACUUGGCUCGAUUACAUCCCUAGUCAUUAUACCAACUUGCAGAAUUUAAUGGUUGACCUACGUGGCCUAUAAGGCGGAAAUUUAUAGUAAUUCAUAUCGUCUCAUUGUCUCGUGCCGGUAGUAAUUAAGGAAGAAGGAAUCAGUGUCGUAAAAAGCAGCGAAUCGGUGGGUCACUCCAUGUCUAAUGUAACGAAUCAGUUGGUCUAGCAAAAGUUGAAUUUGUAUGUGCCGACUGAUAAGUGAUACUUGUUUUUACUCUUUAAAGAAUCCAUAAAAUUUUCCCGACGAAUAUUUCCAGGCACACCUAUUUUGGUUUUGCGGUGUUUUUCUUUUAGGGAUAAUUUCAGAAACCUCCCUUGAGAUUUAUAACAAUUUCAUUUAGCUUCCUAAACUUUUAAAAAUUACACAUACCUCCCUUAUCAUUUAAGAUGAUAAUACUACCCUUAAAUAUUUUAAUAAAAUUCCCUUAUUUGGUAUUUCUUAUAUUUAGAAUGACUUUCAAAAUUAUUUUUUCAUUAUUUUUUCUUCUUAUUCAUUUUUUUUUAUUUUUUGCCAAUAAAAUUAUAGAACUACUACUAUUCCCUCUAUUUUCUAUUGUAACCAAAUGUCGAACUAGUGAUUUUUUUGAUGAGUUAAAUUAUAUGUAAUCCAAUGUUUUUACUGAUUUUUAAAAUUUUUUGGUAUUAAAAUUAAUAAUAAAUCAAAAAGAAAUAGCCCAAAACCACUACUAAAUUAUGAUAAUCUCACUAUUCAAAAAAUUCAUAAACUCCCACUACUAAAUUAUGAUAAUCUCUAAAUGGAUUAUUUCAACAUUUUUUUCUAUCGUAUAAAUCUAAAUCCAUAAUAAAAUACCAUCAAAAGUAUCCUAUCAUAGUGAUAAAAUUAUUGUUAGAAUAAAUCUUAUAUACACUGAAAGUGUAUACACUAUCACAAUUGGAUGUGUGACACAUAUGCAAAAUUUAGAUUUCAAAUUCAAAUUCGAAUUAUGUGCCAUGCAUCUAAUGGUGAAAAUGUAUAUGCUGUCAUUGUAUAGAAGAUUAAUUCUUAUUAUUAUAGUUGUUUAUCAAUAGUAGGUAUGGACAUGAAAAUUUUGGCACAUAUUUCUUAUAAUUAUACUAGAUAAUCUUAUAAUUGUACAGGAAAAUAAAUUAAAACUCAUUACACAAGGGCAUUUUUGGGUAUUCAUUUAAAAAUUUGACCAAGUCAAUAUUAUUUGAAUGUUUUGUUACUAAAACUAUCAAAUCAAGGGGGUAGAUGUAAUUUUUCAAACCUCAGGGGAGCUCAGUGAGAUUGUCAAAAACCUCAGGGGAGGUAUGUGAAAUUAUCCCUUUCUUUCAACCAAAACAAAUGUAGUUCACAAAAUUUAUGAUCUUAGGUAGAUUUAGAUCAACUAACGAAAAAUUCCAAUAUCUAACUGUUAAAAUUAAAUUGGAAUUAUGUUGAAUAAUAAUACAUGGAUAAUAUAUUUAAGAAAUUAGUAGGAAGAAAAGAAUCCUAAUUUUAGUAUAUUAUAACUUUAUUCUAGCACUAUUAUAUAACUUGUCGUGUGGUUUGUGGAGGUAGGAUUUGAAUGGUUAUGGUUAAUAGUUGUGAAUACAUUAAUUAGCAAAGGUAAUUAUCAAAUGAAGUACGCGUAUGAUUUUUUGAAUAGACUUCAUUCUAAAUCAUAUACUUCAAUAAUAAGAUUUUAAUCUAUCUAUAUGUGUUCGUUUAUAUUCAUAAUUUUUAAUGAAGAAUUUGAAAAACUAUAUAAAAUACCAAUUCAUUUGAAAGUUAAUUGAUAACAGAUUGAAAUGCCAAAAAAAUGAAAAGAAAAAAUUGUUUUUUCAAUCAAUUUUUCUUGAACCCUCGCACCUCUCCCGACACUUUUCGCACUCUCAAUUGUUAAGCACAAGAAUUGAAUCCUGAACGUGACAGCGAGAAAGACUCUAAAAGCCCUUCUCUGGCCAUUAGAAUUUUUUGAUCAAUUUCAUUUUACAUAUAAUUGUUUACAUUUCAGAGAAAAUUUAAAUUGAGUGCUUAAUUAUCUAUAUGGGUAAAAAAAUAAUAAAACCCACUGUCAAUUAAUUAUUGAUUUAAUUAGAUAUAUUUUGUCAAAUCUGAGACCAACUAUGCAAAAGAAAAUAUACAUGUUAAAAAUUUGUAGUAUGAUCAAAUGAAAUAUAGAGAAACAAAAAAGAAGAAGAAAAAGUUUAUUUAGCUUUUCAUAUUUUUUUAUAAUUAGUUUUCUAGUACAUAAAACACAAUUUCAACUCAAUUCAUGUCUAGUAUCAUUUCAAACCCUCAAAAUCAUUAUUUGAAACUUAAAGGGCUAUAAUGAUUUGAAUUCUAAACUUUAAGGAUUAAAAAUGCAAAGUCAAAAUAAUUGAAAAAUAGAAAUUUGAUUUUGACCAUUAGGAAUGGUUAAAUUUCUAUCAAUUAUCCUAAAUUUGCUUAAAAUUAGAAACUUUGAAGACCAUAUUUGUUUUGAUUCAAACAUUAGGACCAAUUUGACAUACAAACCAAAUGUUGGGAAUCAAAAUUGCAUUUCUCCCUUUUUAAAGAAUGGUGAAAAGAGUGAUGCGGCAUUAUUAAUGGCCAUUUUGCCUAAUACCAUAUUUUAAAUAUUAAUAUUACUACACAUUUACAAUUUGACACAAGAAAUUUAUAUCUUUUUUUAUUGCUUUAGGCUUUUUUUGCAUGAAAUCAUGUAUAUUUGGCACUAGACAAUAAUUUUCAUCAAAGAGUUGUUAUUCUCACAACCACUAAUGAAGAGAAAAAAAGGCACCAUCACAGGUUUUUGGGUUAAUAUUGUUAGGAAUAUCAAAUAUAUCAUCAAUGGCGUCUUCAAGUCUAUUGCUAACCAGUGCAAUCCCUCCUAGUUAUUUUUAAUACUUUAGAGUAAUGAGUGUGAAAAUCAAUUUAAGUAGAUCGGAAUUCUGAUUUUCCAAUAAGUUAACCAGGGGGAAGCCCAUGCUAAGCACGGGAGUUUUAACCUAUGUGAUAAAAUAUUUAUUCAAAUAAAUUUAUAAAAAAGUUAGUAGAAUUAGAACUGUCUGGUAAUUGGUUUAAUUGAAUCAAUUGAAGUGCAUGAAAUUAUAAGUAAAUUGGCCAAAUCAACAAAUUUAUAAAGGAAAAUAAAUUUAUAAGUAAAAGAAAUAGGAUUGUCGUAAAUUAUCACACUAUAUCACAACAAUAGCAAAAACAUCAUUACCUUUGUUACUAGACCAUUAUAACACAAUCAUAGCCAUAUCCAAUCAACAAUAACAUAUAUCAACUAUAAUCUCAGAUUUAGAUCCUACCUUGGUCAUGAAAUUGCAGUCAAUGGAUAAUCUUUAGUCGUAGUUUAACCACCUGCGGCCACAAACAUCAGUUUUUGGAAAUAUAGUUAGAAAAUGUAAGAAGGUUCCUACGAAUAUUCAUAUGCAUGUAUCAUGUAUUCCAUAACAAAAUUUCCAUAUUCAUACAAUAGCUAUUGAGAAAAUAUUGCAGUAGAAAACUCAUAAAUUUUAUUGUAUUAGUUAAACAUCCAAAACUCGAGAAAAAGAGAAAGUAAAUGAGCAUUCCUGUCCAAACACCCACAACAAAAGAUUGAGCACAAACACUUGAACCAACAUUCUUCAGUAUUAAAAGCCUCCAUUAUUGCCAAGCUGAAGAACACUACAAUUAUACUUGUAACGGAUUGGAAAUAUGAACCAAAACCAAUCAUGUUCAUUAUUAAGUGCUUCCUGAACCAAUCAUCUUUACCAUUAAGACACUCUAUUAUUGUAGCUAUAAAAGUUACCCACCAAUUAUAAAAGAAGAUGAAAAGCAUUGCAAUUACAUUUGUAAGUGGUUUAAACACCACUUAAAAGCUUGAUAAUCACGUGGAAUGUAAGUCAAUUGCAAAUGGGAGGAUACAAUAGUCAAACCCAACUCAACUAUACAUUAUAAUGUUGCACAUUUGGCUUAAUCACUUGCAUUUGAUUUUUUUCCCUGCCUAAAUUAUCCCCAAAGUUGGCAUAUGAAAAAUUUUCCAACAGUCACCUACAAACUCCUUUUUACAUAUAUAUAUAGAUAUCUAUAUAUAUAUAUAUAGGAAACUUAGGAUAAAGUAUCAACAUUCAACAUGAUUAAUUUAAAAUUACUUUUGAAUGCCCAGUCUUUCUCUAUCCUUUAAAGUUUUCCCCAGUUGUUGUUAUUACUUAUAAAAUAAACCGAGUAAGAAUUUGUUUACACACUUACAAAAAAGAAAAGAAAAAUAAUUUCUUUACACGCUUGUGAACCCAUUCUUUGCCUAUCCUUUACAUUUUUGCACUUAAAACAUUUUAGAUAUUUAAUCAAUUUAUGCCAACCGGUUAUUAACAAAUAACCGGUUAUUAAUCAAUUUAGUUUUGAUAGUAUAAUAAUCAUUUAAGCAAAUAACAUAUAGAACAAAAAAAAAUCUAAGUCUACAAAGGCAAUAACUACUCAAACAAUUAUAUUUGAAUUUAAGCACCCUUAUUCUUCCAAUUUCUAAACCCUCUAUGUGAACUUUAUAUUAAAUCACCAUUACUAAACUAAAAUUUACAUAGGCAAAAAAAAGUUGGCAGUGAAAAUGCUUAAUAUUCCUCUUCCCCUACUUUUGUCUUUUUAUACAAAUCCUAUAUUUACUCUUGUUAUUUAAAAAAUUAUCGAAAAUAAUUUCAAAAAUAAAUUCUAUAAGAUUUGGUGAUUCUAAUUGUGAUUAUGUCCCUAAACACCCGCUCUCGACUAUUAGUUUUCCUAUGUCAACUUUAUAUCAAAUUAUCCUUAUUAUUCUAACCAUUAUAUAUGGAAAAAAGAAGAUAAUAAAUCUAAAUCUAUAAAAGUAAAAUGGCUCAUCUAAUAAUUGUUGAAUGCAAAUGUAUCUCUUCACAACAUUUUUUGUUUUCACAUGCUAAUCUUUAAUUAAGUUUCUUUUGUUAUUCUAACAAUUAUGGAAGUAAAAAAAUCUAGAAAAUGCCAAAAAUAGAAGAAAAUAUUAUUGUAUCAAUUAUUAUUGCAUACAACACUCCCUUCAAAUCUUUUUCAGUUCUCCCAGGCAAAUAGAUGUUAGAAAUCAUUUUGGUAAAACAUUCAAGAUAGGACAACACAAAUGGGUAAUUUGGGACAAAAAUACAUUUCUUUAUUAUCAUGUAGGGUUUUUUCUUUUAUUAACAAACUCAUGUAGGGUUUUUUUCUUUUAUUAACAAACUCACCCUCUUAAGUCGGACAACACAAAGGGCUUUUUUGUUUUUAACCCUUUUAAGAAUAAUUUUAUCAUGUAGGGUGAGUUUGUUUCAAAAGAUUUUGAGAGGCCAAUGAUAUUUUUCAAAAUAACUUUAGGAUGCUAAGUGAUAUUAGACAAAAUCUCAAGGGAGAUUUCCAAAAUUAUCCCUAUUUAUGUGGCUAAAAUUUGCAUAUCUAACGAAUGAUGCUAAUUGCCACAAUGUUUGACAAAUACAAUGUCGGUACUGGGUACAAAGUUGCCCUACCCCCAAAACUGUUUGUAGAUUCCAUUGACUUGUUCUUCAACUGGUAUUAUGCAUCAAAAAUUUUUAGAUAAUUUUUUUUUAAAAAAAAGGAUGUCUUCUUCGACUUGCAAGAGAUUAAAUCGAGGCAUAAUUUUCAAAACCUCCCUUAAAGUGUUUCGACAAUUUCAAGAUCCUGCCUUCUAAUAUUUAAUAUUAUACAUACCUCUCUUUAAUAUUCAAAAGUACUCUUAUACCCCCAUUAUAUUUGCACACCUAUUCCCACAAAUGGAAAUGAAAAGUAAAAAAUGAAAAUAAUCACCCGUACCCACUCUUUCCUUCACUCUCACGAUCAAAUUGUCAAAAUAUCCCCCUGUUUCUCUUUCCCCUAUUCUUUUUCCAUCCAUUACCCAACGCACUCCACUUACCUUCACACGUACAAGUGUUUAGUAUUUGCUACCUUUCCUGCUCCCUUAUCCUCUCCUUGUGGCCCUGCACCUCUAUCCCUCCCCCCCAAUCUUAGUUAAUAUACUCGGGUAAUUUGGUUUUUUCUUUUUCUUUUUAUGAGUUUAUGGGCAUAUUGAAUUGGACAUACUUGUCUCAUUCGUACAUACUUUAGUCGCAUAAUCAUUAUUGCUCUGUUAAACAUUUCUUUGUGUUAAAUUUCUAGAUAUAUAGGAAUGUGAUAUAAGUAGCUUGGUUUUCAAAGGUUUCCUGCCUUGGCUAAGGUUGACUUUGGGGACCAUUUGACUGUUUCAAAUGGGCAUACAGAUGAAAUUAUGAGAUGAUAUGAACAGACAAUUUAUCCAUAUUAGACCACAUAUUUUCCUUGUAGCCAAUUACUAGUUAAGAUCAGUGUGACUCCAAAUUCAGUGGUCCUUGCCUUCCAUUUCCAACUUGCAUUAUUCUCAGUUCUCAUCUUUCAUAAUUAGAUCUAUUAUAUAGAUGUCAUAGGAUAUAUACCUGCACUAAAUGCUCAGUAGAAACAGACCCAUUUUGUUACCCUAAGAACAUGACCUAAUUUUGAGCAAUAGAGUGUCAUCACGGCCUAAUUUUGAGUGAUAGAUCGUUUGCACUCAAAGCAAAAUUUCUGACUCUGUCUGUGUUGGAUAUUCUACCACAUAUUGCUGUCAUAAAUAUCUUCAGCUACUAACUAAAUCAUGGGGUCAACACAUUUCCAUGCGCAUUUUUAUCUUUCCCUCUUCGAGAACCGUGUCAAGUAAAUCUCCCUAUAAAUAGAGAAGAGAUGCUGCGGCUUUCUCAUCCUUCUCAAUGUUUUCAAUACCAAAUCUUGAGUUCAUGAACCAAGUUGUGUGAGGAAAACAAAAAUGGGUUCCGACGCAAUUCUCUUCCUAUGGCUUUUGGCUGUAGUUUUGAUGAUUGCCCCUGAGGUGACAGCCAUGGAUUUGGCUGAAAAUAGUAAGCUAUGCAUUCUGGAACUUAUUCUUUCCUUUUUCAACAAUUUUAUACCUGCAAAAUAUAGACUUUUGGCACAACAUGAAUUACUCUAGACAAUUCUUUUUUCCUUCUUCCUUUUUUUUAGAAAAAAAAAAAUUUUUACUACGAUUCAUGCAGUAACUAGAUAAUUCUGCAUGAUCCCGUGAUCAUUUGCAGCCAAUGCAGCAAAGAAGAGUACUAAUGGCCCGGAAGAAUCCAAGUACCGUGGCCGGCGGUGGAUAUGGUGGAUACCCCGGGUAUGAUGUACUUUUUUCUACUUCAACAACGUGAAAGUAAAAUCUUAUGUGAGUUUCAAGUUUCAACAGCCAGUUCUUCUGCCUCGAUUCACAAAUAAAUUCACAUGCUUCAUUGUCUAAACUGUUAUUUUUUUAUUUAUUCAAUUAACCUAAACUCGUUAUUUUGACAAAAAAAAAAAAACCUAAAUUCAUUAGAUUAACAAAAUAAUUUUUUUUAUUAGUAACAAAAUAUUCUUGAAAAAGUUAACACUUUUAACCCAAAUUAUUCAAGCAAAGAGAAAAGUUAUGUCCUUUGGAUGUAUUUAAUAAACUGUGCUAGUAAAGUUCAUCAAAUUAGAUUAGUCACGUGACUGAUAUUGGUGACAGAUAUUGGAAAACGACAUACUACAAUUAGAUUUUUUACGUUCUCGCGAAACUAGUUAAAUAAACAAAAUCUUCUCGAGCUUUUGACAUGAUUUCUUGUAUGGCUAGAUUAAAUAUAUGGUUUUAUCAUUUCUUUUCAGCUUGUAUACUAUAUUUGACAAAUAGGGGAGGUAAGGGUUUUUUUAAUCUAUUUUUAAUCAAACAUAUAACUAACUGGAUAGAAAAUGAGUCUUCAAAAUCUAUUAUCACAGAUAUCUGGAUUAGAUUAGUUAAUUAUGUAUACCCAAAAUUGAAAUUUUUUUUUAAAAACACCACUUUGAUGAUGGUUAACUGAUUUACAGAUGACCCAAUGGUUAACUGAUUUACAAAUUUAGCCUUGAAAUUGUUGUAUUUUUGAACUACUAAAAUUAUGCUUUUUGGUGCUAAGCCAUGUUUUUAAACUUAGAUUGGCCGUCCAACCGGUUGAACAGGAAAUUGGACAUGUAUCCGGUUCGAGUGAUAGUUAAAAUCCUUUUAUCUAAGGCUCGAUCAAAUUCGGUGAAAAAUUGAUCUGAAUUGGAAACCGAAAAAGGGUAAAAUUCGGGGUUUUUCUUUUUGUUUUUGGGUUUUUUUUGCCUCCUCCUGCUUUGACUUGCCUUUGACUACCCAAACGAAGCCUACAUCUUCUGAAUCAUUUCGCAAAUCGCAAGACGCAACGUAUCUGGUCCUUUUUUCUUUUUUUUUGAAUGGCUUUUGCCAAUUCUUUUUGGUUCCUUUUCCCUGAUUUCGUCCUCCACCGAUCGAUCGAGAAAAGACGGCCAUGGGUGAGCUCAUCACUGUGUUCUCCUUCUCCAAGACUCGAUUAAUGUCACAAAGCCACUCAUGUCUGCUAAAUCGUUGAAGGCUCUUAGAUCCAGUAAGAGAAAAGAUAAAGAAAAAACACGGAAGAAGUGGAUAUGAAGACGAUAAACACAAGAGAGUGUGUUGCGGCAGUGUGCAACGGGUGGGUGUGUGAGGGAGAUUUCAAUGAAAGCUUGCAAAUAAACAGAAAAGCCACGACUGAGAAAGAGGAAUUGGGUUUCAUGUUUUAAUAGAUUUUAGGGAUAAUAUCAGAAACCCCCUUGAGGUUUCUCUUAAUAUCACUUAGCACUCUUAAGGUUUGAGGUUUUGGAAAUAUCACUUACCUCCCCUAAUAAUUAUAAAAAGACUAUAUUAACCCUCAUUUGACACAUAAUUCACAACAUAUCAAAUAAAUGGAGCUCAAAAAUGAAAAAAAAAAAAGAAACAAAAGUCAUUUUCUUCUUAUUCCUUUUUCUCCAUCAUUCUCUCUUACUCAUAUUUUUUGGAUAGCUAUGCAAUAUUUGAUUUGUAAAUUAUAAUAAAUUAAAUUUUGUUUGCUUUUUACUUUUUGUGAUUGUGAUAAAGUGAAGUAUGAUUUAUUUGCUUAUUUUGAGUUGAUUUUUAUAAUGAUUGGCAUAGUUUAAUGAUUUGAGUAAUGGUUGAGAAGUUGUUAAAAAAAAUAUAAAUUCAUAAGAAAUCAGUUUUGAGCAUAUAAAAUUAAAUUGAUGUAAGUGUAUUUCUUUUCAAAUAUCUUUUUUAUUUUUCAAAUUUAUAUUUUUAUGGGGUAUAGCAUUGUGAUGUAGUAGUAUAAUAAGAGAUUGUUUUUGACGUGAUGGUUUUCUUGAAGUGAAAGGUUAAUUUAGGGUUUUUAAAAGUUUUGUUAUACAAAUAAUAAAAAUAAGGUAGGUAAGUGAUAUUUUUGAAACUUUAGGAAUGCCAAGUGAUAUUAAGAGAAACUUCAGGGGAGGUUCCCUAGAUUUUGAUGCCCUAAUAUUUUUAGUAUUCUAUUUUGACCCUUAAUUAUUUCAAGAAUUUGUAAAUCACAGUGUGCACAUUUUCCAAAUUAUUUCUCUAGCCUCAAUUUAUAUAAUUUUUUAAAUUAAAUUCUUUGUAUCAGUUAUAAACUCGCCUAAUAUGCCAGGUAGGUGGGUAAUUUUCUAUACUAUUUCAUUUUUAUGAAUAAUAAAAAUAUAUUUAUAAUAUCAUUAUAAUGUCAUUUGGUUAAAUUACAACUUGACCGGUCAAAUUCAUUGACUCUUGACUCCUCAAUUCAGCGGAGUCACUAUUCGGUUCGAGUUAAAAAAACAUAGGUGCAAAGCCACUAAAAUGACUUCAUAUGGCAUGAGAUUGCUUUGCCGUGACACUAAAAGUGCUCAUAAAAGAGACAUAUAAUUACACAUUCACAUAAUCGAAAUACCAAACUAGCAAGUACAUACUGUGGAUAUUAUUAUUACAUCACUUCUCAAGAUCUUAGUUGUAGUAGUUUAAACAUUCGUGACAGUGCCAGAAGCUGGCUUCAAUAGUUCCGAGGCUCAACCUCCAUAGACUAACCAGGGUAUGAGGAGCAAAAUCUAUAAUGAUUUCAUACUCGAUCAAGAGUUUGUCUUUCAAAGUAUGUGCCAUGCAUAUUUAGUAUCCUUACAUAUACCAAUAAAAUGGUUAAACACUGCGAACUAAUAGGUAGUUUUAUUAUAGCCAGCAAUCGAUGAUUAACCGCGAUACCCCAAGCCCCAAGUCAGGGAGGCUUCUAUACUUAAACCGUUAAACGUACACCUUGACAAAUUAAGGUGAAUUUAAACUGCAAAGUAGGUCUCAGCUAUGUUUCGUAAUACUCUAACGCUUUAAAUGUACAACAAAAAUAGUACUCCCUUCGCCCAAUUUACAGUGUCAUAUUUUCUAAUUUGAAAUGUCCCCUAAAUGUUUGUCAUCUUAUCAAAAUCAAAAUUAACUGUGAUUUUUUUAAAUAUCAUCCCUAUCUUUACGUUUGUUUUAUAUUAGAUUCAAAUUAAUUUUGAAUCCCAAAAUGUGAUAAAUAAUUUGGGAUAAAGGGAGCACAUGAUUUGAAAGGUGAAAUUUGUGGUCCUAAAAUAAAAGGACGAAAUUGGAGUAGAGAUCAAAUGUAUUGCAAUUGUCAACUGACUUGGAUGACUCAGCCAAUUCCCCAGCAGUCACCUCUGAGGUAAUCAUUAACACUAUAGUCAAGGAAAUGCAAUAGAAAAGAAGUGUCUUCGAACCCAUUUUUGCUCAAGGAAACAGAUUUUGUGAAGGAUGGGAAAGCUCAUGAAGAUUGAUCUCUACUUAUAGGUAAUUCUGUGCAAAAUUGCGGUCAAAGGGGCCGUGGCAUCAGUCAACGAUGUAGUUGGGCUUUGAAGAGAUGAUUUGCUGUAUUUGGUACGACGCCAAUGUAAAGAAAGUGGCAAUAUCACUUGGUACACCUAAACUUUGAGAAAUCUCACAUACCUCCCUUAUUUUCAACUUUUUGUAACAUUAUUAAUCCAUUUCAAAGAAAAAAUGUUAUUAAGAAACUAAUAUUUAUAGAGAGGAUGCAUUUUCAUGCCAAAUUGCCCUUGUGUUAGCCUACUAUUUUUCCAAAAGUGAAAAUAUAUUACUAAAAGUUGGAAAAUAAGACAAAUAUUAUGAAAACAUAUUUAUAAUAAAAUAAAUUAUAUGAGUAGUUGUUUUUAAUGUACAAACGACUACAAUUCAAGAGUAUGUUUAAGGUGCUUCAAGUCAACAAAAAUUAUUUCAUUGACUACCAGGUGUUUUCAUUAAUUUGAGGAGUUUUACAAAUUUAAAAAUGUGAACUUUCUAAAUUUUUCUAUAUAGACUGAUGGUUUGAAUAUUAAAAACAGAAACAACAUCUAAAAUUAUGUUUACAAACUCAUUUGACAUGUUUUCAAAAAAAAUAAAAGUAACUUUCUUUAUUACAAAAUACUUUUGGAUGAACUUAGAAUUUUAUAAAUAGUUUAAUUUUUUUAAAAUGUUCUAACUCUUUAUCCAAAUCAAUGGUUUGAAAGCAAGAGAAAGGUUAAUUAUUAACAAUAUAUUUAGAAACUCAUUUGAGGAAUUUUCAAGAAUGCUAUAUUUUCUAAUUAUAACCAUUUUUCUUUUGCAGUUUUUGUCUAGACUAAUGACUCCAAAAAUUGCAAAAUGUCUUUCAUGCUCAUUAAUAUGUUGUAAUUAAGGAUUUAACUUGGUUUGUUAUAAAAAUAAAGGUCCACAAGAAAAGGGAAAUUUUGGAAUAGAAAUAUUUUAUCUCUCCCAAAAUGAGUUUUUCAAUUAUAUAUUUUGAAAUGAGUUGAUAAAGUUAUAAAAUUUUGAAAAUAAGGUAGAUCAAUGAGAUUUCUCAAAGUUCAGAGGUAUCAAAUGAUAUUGUCACAAAUCUCAAGAGAAGUUUAUGAAAUUAUCUAUGAAGAAAAUAGAGAUAUAUACCAAAUGCACUUAGUCUAGUCACUCUUGUAUCUUAAGAUACUUUGCAGCAUUGUGAAGAGGAUAAGGUUCAUGUCCUUCUUGUCCUGCAUUCAUGAAUAUGUCCAAAUAUUAUGAUCAAUUAAUUUGGACUUUGGAGUGACAUUGAUUAUUUUCAUUCUGAGUUGAUUAACAUGUCAAACUUUGCAAAUCUUAGUAUAUAUGCAAUAUAGUUCUGAAGCAUUUGCAUUACAAAAACAAUAAUAUCUUUUAGGGUAAAUUAUACUAAUAGUUUUUGCAGAACUAAGAGACUUUUUUUUAGCACUAAAAGCCCUCUCUUGUUUAUUUCAAAAUAACAUUGACUUCCAUUAUCAUCGCUUUUCAUCCAAUUAGCAUUUAUGAUAGUUUUGACUUUACAGUUUUACCUUUUUCUUUUCUUAUUCAUGUUCUUUGUAUUAAAGAAAAAAGGAGUUUUUAAAAUUAAAUGUUUGAAUUCUCUCCUAUGUUAUUUAUUCAUAGAAAAGUAGAAUGGAGAGAUUUAUUUAUAAAAAUUGAAGACCAAUAUCAUUCAUUUCAUUGGCUUCAUAUUUUUGUCAAUCCAAAUAUAGAGGUAUAUAUAUGUAUUUAUUCCUAAAAUAAAAUAGAAUAAAAUGAAAGUGAGGUGUGUCCAAUCCAUGCACAAGUCAAAUCCGUUAAUUCAGUGAAAUCUCAACUUAUAUAUACUUGAAUAUAAACUAAUAGAAUCAAGACAUCAACUAAAUGCUAAGUUCAUGCAGAGAAAGAAAAAAGCUAAUUUAAAUAUUUUAAAAAUACAAGCACUUACUGAAAAAAAAAAAGAUAAAAGUGACUGAGGGCCUUUAUAACUGUAAAUACAUUAAGUGUCAUCAAUUUUUUUGACCAUAAAUUUUGAUAAAAAGAAAUUAUAACACAUCCUGUUCUUUUUUUUUGGUAGACUUACUUAAAUAUCAUUAAUAAUUACUUAUCCACUAUAAAAGCAUUAUGGGUAUAUUGAAGUAAAUUUGUUACAAAACUACUUAAAGGAAAGUUUCUUAUGUUUCUAAAUAAAUGACAGGGGAGGUUCAUGUUUUUUAAAAUCAAGACGGGAGAACCCUAAAUUUUGCUAAAUCCUGAGAGAAUGUUAGUGUAAUUCACCCUAUCUUUUAUAGCAUAUGCGAAAGGCUAAAGCUCCAUGCAUCUUUAAUAGGGAAAAUGAUAUCAAUGGUCUCUCAAAUUUUACUUUUGUAAUUUUUUGUCCCCCUACAUUUAAAAUGCAACAUAUUAUCUCCAUACAAAUAAAAAUGCAUCUUUUUGUCUUUAAAGACAUUUCGAGCCAUAUUUUUGCUUGAAAAUGUUUGAACUCAUCACAGGUCCAAAACAUUAAGGGCAAGAUAAGCAACUCAUUUGGUAUCAGUCCACGAUUGAAGCAUGAUAUCUAUGUAAUUAUGGGAAUGCAAGAAGGUAUGUUUCCUCCUCAAUACCUAGGUUUACCACUUAUUAGUACUUGAUUAAGACUUACUGAUUGCCAGGUCAUCAUUGAUUCUAUUAAGAAUAAAAUUAGGGUGGAGUUCAAAAACUCUAUCUUAAGGAGGUAGGCUGCAACUAAUAAAGUUAGUUCUAAUGAGUUUACAAAAUCAUUGGAGUAGCAUUUUUAUGCUAUGAUAAGUGUUUAUUUUACAUAUUUUUAAUGCGCUUUAUUACUUAGUUUUUGGUGUAUUUUAGUCAUUUGAUAGCUAAAUAACUAGGCAUCUAGUGGAGUUUGCAUUGUGUAGUUAAAGUGAGAAAAAGUGCAUUUCUAUGAAUUUAAGUGAUUAAGACUUCAUAUUUUGCAGAUUUCAAUAAUUCAAUCAUCAAUUGGAGUGAAGUGAGAAGAUAUUUGGAUGAUUCUUGAUGAUUUGCAUUGAUUUCAAGUAAACAUGAAGUGUAAAAUAUUCAAAGGAUGAAAUCCAAUCAAGUUCAAAGAAGAAAAGUUUGGCAACCUAGUAUUUCAGCUAUAACUCGAGGUACAAGCAUUGGAUUGAAAUGAUUUUUUAUUCAUUUUGAAGUUAAGACAUAUCUUAUGAAGACAUCAAAAUCCAAUCUUGGUCAAUAAGCAAAAAUACAGAAGUGCAUUUUUGCUGUUAAAUCUAAAAUAGAGUUUUGAUCAAUUAGGGGUAUUUCUAUUAUUUCGCAGCAUAUAGAGCUCCUAAUGACAUGAUUCUUAAAACAUUGAAAAGCUAACUUAAAGGGUUACCACUUUUAUGUUUUGUGCAAGAGUUAGUUUAGCUUUCAUCAUUGAGAAAUUUGUAGUUCAAAUUGGUAUGAAAAUAGAGCAAAAUCGAGGGUUGAUCAAAAAGUACAAAACCUACAAAUAUGUGGAUACGUGGCUCGGAUACCUAAGGUAGGCUUGCAUUUCCUGCCUUAUAGAUCCUAACUCUACAAGUUCCAAGAACUUGGGGCUUGUUUGCACAAGCUUUUUGGCAACUUUUUACGAAAGAACAUUGGUGGGAAUUGCCCAAAAAAUCAUAGAGAUUUCAAGAAUCAACUUUUGGCAAUUCCAAAAGCUAACUUCAUCAACUUUAACAUGAUUGAUUGAAGUUUUAAUCUUCUAUAAAUAGAGGCCUUGGAGAAUAUUUCUUACAACUUUGAAUGGCUAAGAACUAUCAUAAAAAUGUAACUUUCACUAGUUCUCCUUAAUUCAUUAGUUUAGUAUAGAUUAGUGUAGUUUAUCCAUCUCGUAUUGUAGCUAAACAAAGAUGAAGUUGAGGACGAAGAUGGAGACUUCGGAGAUCAAGUGAUAAGGGUGACAUCUUUUCUAUCACUUAUUUCUUGUAUUGAUUCUUAUAUUUAGUAAAUAUACAAGUUUGGUUCUUGUUUGUAUUUCAUUUAUGUUUUGCUAGUUGUUAUACAUCGAGGAUGGAUGAACUUCUAUAAUUGUUAUGUAAAGAUUUUCAUGGUCAUCUAAGCUUAUUCUUGUGUAAGUUAUUCAACACUUUUGCUAUUUUAAUCAUGAUUAAUUGGUCAUUAGUUGUGAUAAUAUAAAGGUGUUAUUUCAUCAAUGUAAAUUAUGAUUCAAUACUAGUUUAUGGAAGUGUUAAAUCUAGAGAGUUAAGUCACUAAUAUAGAGUUGCACCUUUGUGGAUUUGGUGGUUUGUUCCAUAUAAUUUAUAGAAUGUAAUAAAUCUAUAGUUAGUUUCAUAUCACGUUAGUAGGUAUGGGGUAACUAUAGGUAUGAUUGGUAUGCUUGCAAAAGCAGAUAUCACAUAUAUUUAGAAAUUAAACCAUAACUAGUUAAGGUAAUGAAACUCAUUUAACCAGUAAUUUUACAUGCAUGAGUAGAUAAGAAUUCCAUAAUCCUAGAUACAUUUUUAUUGUCAUUUUUACUACUUUUCUUUCUUGUUAGUAGAGUAAAUUUACUUGUUUAUUUGAGAUUGUCUAAAUAUUAAAGAAGUUUGAAAACCACUGGUUAUUGGUAAUCUUCCUUGAACGAUCGACACAUGAUACCCCUAUAUUCGAUAAACGAUCAAUAUACUUGCAGAAAAUGAGGUAAUUAGUUUUUUUUUAAUUUAGUGUAAAGGAAAAAUCCCGUCAUGCUUCCCAUGAGACUUAUAAAGGUGCUUGUGAAGCUUAUGUCAAACUUUUUGUGGAAUGGGUCUAAUAAGUCAUCCGAUAUAAAAGUCAAAUGGGAUCAAAUUUAUAAACCUCUAAGAGAAGGUGGAUUGGGGCUAAUUAAGUUUGGAACAAAGCUCUACUGCUAAGGCAUAUCUGGCAUAUUUUUCAAAGGAAAGAGAGCUUAUGGAUUGCAUGUGUGCAUGUGGUUAAACUGACGCAUAGAUGAUUUUGGUAGAUCCCUAAUCCAGUGGAUUGCUCCUGGUUCUGGAAGAAAUUACUUCAAUUAAGGGAGAUUGCUUGGCAAUAAAUACAAACAGUGGUUGGUAAUGGGCAAACUAUACAUCUGGGGGUUUGAUAAUUGGCAUCCACAUAGUCCUUUACUUGCGUAUUAUGCUGCUGAAAUGGUUACUUUGUUUGGCAACACUAUUAACUCUAAUUUAGUUACUAUUAUGAAAGAUGGUACAUGGAAUUGGCCAAAUGUAGGAGGGUUCAUAAAGUGGAGGAUUUGAUUCAAGUUAUGCCUGCUGAUUGUCUACCUUUGUCGGAAGAGAAGACUCCUUUAGAUGGAAAUGUGAUGGGACAGGUAUUUAUUCUACUAGUUCUGCAGUUGAACUACUAAGAAGUAGAACUUCAGAGGUGUCUUGGUUUAAGUUGGUGUGGUUUAAAAGUCAUGUCCCUCGUUAUGCUUUCAUAAUGUGGUUGGCAUGUAAGAAUAGAUUAGCAACUAAGUAUAGAUUAAUGAGGUGGAAGUUAUUACUGAAAAAUUGGUAUUUCGUAUGUACUCGUGCGAAUGAAUCGGAGCACCUUUUCUUUUCCUGUGAUUAUUUAGCUUAUGUAUGGGGGAGAAUUUAGCAGCUUUGCCUACUUUACAGGGAAGUCUAUAGCUGGACUCAAGAGAUAGACUGGUUGAUCCAAAACAUUACAAAUGAUUCCUUCCUAAAUCUGAUUCAGAAACAUGCAUUAUCAGUAACUAUAUAUGCUAUGGAGAGAAAGAAAUAGGAGACUGUUUUGUGGGAGGACUAUGAAUGCGGAUGCUGUAAUUCAUGGUAUAGUGCAAGUGAUGACUGAUGAGGAGUAUACAAUGAUAUCCUUGAGUUAGUUUGUAGUGCACUGAUGUAUAGUGAUAUAGUUUGGAGUGAUGCUGUACACUGCAGAUAAUUUCUGCUUGUGUGACUGAUUAUUGUUGAUCCUUUAAUAAUGCUAAUAUUUGGCUCAUAAAAAAAAAGGAUAAGCAACUCAUCUAACACUCACCCAAUAUCACACAAGCAUUUGACUUGAAUCUAGUACCAGACUAAAAGAGGGAGGGUGGAGGGGGGGCUGGGGAGUUGUGGACCAAAUCUCCCCAUUUUCCCAAUUUCCCCAAUUCCUCAAAUUUCCUAAGCUCUAGCCUGCCUGGGCCGUUUCCCAGACACCCAACCCAAUAUGGCCAGGCAGCCAACUACUUCCUCUUUAGAACCACAUAACCAUUUGGAUUUCUCUUUGUAGAAGAAUUGCUGAAGUGAAUGGAUCAAACCCAUUUCUCACUUUCCCAUCCUCAUUCAAAAUAGCUUUCUUUGACUCCUACUAUUCUCAACCUUUUUAUUAGAGAAAUCACUAGUAGUUGUACACACUAUGCCUACAAAUGGAUAAACCUGAUGAAAUCUUGUUCUAAUUCGAACCAAGAACCCGCAUACCGUAUAAUUCUUGAAAGGAAUAGUCUGCGGGUGCUGAAAAUGAUAAUGAAGAAGAGCCCAAUAUUCUACAAAUGGCUUUCAAUUUCACUGAAGAUGAAGAAGUGAACGGAUUGUUGACUUUCUUCAUGAUUCCCUUGAUUUUAUCCUUGAAAUCAUCCAUCUUUCAAAACCCACUUCCCCAAAUAGAGAAAGCUAUUGACCUCAAGUCAGUGUGAGAGAUGCUUGUGUUAUGUUGGGUAAGUAUUGGAUAUCCUGCCUAUUUUGCCUUUAUUAUUUCGGACACGGGAUGAGCCCGUUAUAUUUUCAGGCAAAAAAUUUGAAUAGAAACGUGUUUAGGGACUAAAAAGGUGUGUUUUUCAAUUGUGAAUGACUAAAAUGCUUCAUUUUGAAUGUGAGGAACUAAACAAUUACAAAUGCAAAAUGUGAGGGGCCAUUAAUGUGGUUUUUUAAUUUAAUAUAAUGGAGGGAUACCAUUUGUAUCACAGGUGCUUUGGAUAAUAUGGACUUUAAAUCUCUUUUGGAAUAAUGAAAGGAAAAAUCACACCAUCAUCCCUCACAUAUUGAUGAUAUUAAAUUUUUGUCCCUCUAAAUUAAAAGGGAUAAUUCCACAAACCUCCCCUGAGGUUUUUAACAAUUACCAACUGAGAGCCUUUCAAGCGAGGAAAAAAGAUGUAUCAGAUAGUAGACCAGAGAAAUUGGACCACCACCUAAAGUUAGAGAAAUUGGACCGCCACCUAAAGCUAGAAAAUGAGUGGAUAGAGUAAAACUACCACUUCUUUCACCACUCAUGAAAAAGAAAUCCGAAGGGACUAUGUCACGAGGAGCUCCAGUAGGACAGAUACAAUCAAGGAAAACUUCGCAGACAAGUCAAGUCACAACUCCUCAUAUGACCUGUAGAUAUUGUGGAAGGACGAAUCAUACCGAAGAAGACUGCUAGGUGAAGGGGCGAUAGUGUAUGGGAUGUGGGAGCACCAACCAUAAAGUUCAUGACUGCCCAAAGAGGCAUCCACGAGAGACUACUACUCAACAAAAAAAUAGAGAGCUCCCUUAAAUUUUAAAAAUUACAUAUACCUCCUCUAAUUUUACUGUUUAGUAACAAUGUAGGUCCAAAAAGCUAAAUUUUCUCUCAAAAAUCUUAAAUUGCCCUUUUGUACAAAAUUAAGAAAGAAAAAUAUAGUAUACUCAAUCAUUUUUUUCCACACUUUGUAUAAAUCAACAAGCCUAAUCUCUAACAACCUUCCAAACAUAAGUUUUAAAACCAAAUAACUGUUCAAAAAAUCCCAAAUUGCAUAUAUAAUAUCAAUGCUUGUCAUAAAAAAAACAUACAUACACACAAACCCUAUUGAUAACCAAUUUUAUACCCCAAAUUAAAUAUCAGUGCUCAAAUACUUUUUCAAUACAAGUUAAUCUGAACUAAAAUCACUAUUACAACCCUCCUAUGGUCUUAAAAAUAUUAAUAUCUUAAAAGUAGAGAAUAAAUUCUACCUCCAUAAUAAAAUCAUAAUAAAAAAUUUAUAAUCUAAUGAAAGAAAUCCUUAUGUAAUUAUUGACAUUUUAUAAAAGGAUUUUUUACAAAAAACAAAAUAUGAAAAAUUUCACAUCUUUAGUUUUUUUUCCUAUUUCAAUCGUCAAUCUCAUUAUUUAUUUCUUUAUCACUGCAAGUCUCUUCAUUUGCUUUUAGUUUGACACAUAAUCUACUCCCUCUGUUAAUUUUGUAAUUUGAAUUUGCUAAUAUCCAUAAAAUUGAAAAUAAUAAAAACAAGUUAUAAUAAUUAGAAAAGAGAGGAGCGAAAAUAGACAAGAGAUAGAAAAAUAAUUUUUUUUAGGUUUUGAAAAUCUAUUGCCUUCAAUUUAAAAUUUUUUACCAAGUGGAGGGCAUUACUAGUAAUUUACUAUGUCAAGGGAGGUAAGUAUAAUUUCUUAAACCUAAGGGGAGCCGAGUGAAAUUGUCAGAAACCUCAAAGGAGGUUUCCGAAAUUAUCCCCAAUUAAAGUGAGUGAUUUUAGUAUUUUAGCUUUUAACAAAUUAAAAAAGCCAAUUUUUAGUUUUGGUCACAUUUCAAACCAAAUUUUGAUUGGAAUAAGUUAGGUAUACAUCACCAGAUUAAUAAUUAAAUGGCAAAUCUAGAAACUGACUUAGCAAGCCACGCACAAGGCCAAAUUGCUAGCAAUGGUCGACAGGGCUAUUCUUUCCUUUCCCUUUCCAAGCCUCUCGAAGAACAGAAAGGUAGUAACUGUAGAAUAGUAACCAAACUAGCUGCAGGCACUGGUUGGCUCAGGAACCUUUAAAUCCUUCUUCUCCAAUCAGGCGUGGGAGAUACUUUAGUGUGUCAGGAAUCUGGACCACCCGCAUGUUGUAAUCUUUCACGUUGAUGAUUUCAAUGGACUUGGGAGCUAUGCCAAAAAAUAAGGUUCAUCAGUAAUGAUUUCAUUUCACUUGAGAGCUGGGGCAAAUAUUAUGAGCUAUGCUAUAAAUUCCAUUCUAAUGUCUGCUCUCAAAUGAAUGAGCUUCAGGCCUUUCAUUUCUCUCUUCUUCUUUUUUAUGUCUUGUUUACUUCUGUAGUUUAUUUGGGUACGAAAUGAGCCAAAUAAGAGGAUACACAAUAGGGUCUAGUUUCCCUCUUUAAGGGCGGUGCAUUAAUUGGACUUGUGCUCUUUCAUCAAGGUACUAGUGCACAUUUUGUUGUUCAAGAUGUGGAUGCAUACUUUUCAUGUAAAAGUAUUGGCGGACAUGGAAAUGAUGGGAUGAGUGGUGGCGGAAAAAGGGCGAGGAAGAAGCAGAUGGUGGGGAAGGAAGGGAAGGACAGAGGGAGACGGGGAAGGGAUGCCGGGGGAGAAGUGAGAGGGGUCAGCGGUGGUGGUGGUGGAAAGGAGAAUGGUGGAGGAGCAUGGUUGUGGAAGAGGGAACGGGGUGGUUAUGUUUUUGGAUUUGCAGGGUUAAGAUUUUGGGCAGAGGAGGAUUGGAAAAAAUGGUGGUUUCGGUGCGCAAUUGGAUCAAUAAUAGGCGAGUUUACAAAUUAUUUUCCCUUCAACUAUUGACCACUGACAUAUGUGUAAUAUAUUCCGGCUAAAAUUUGGUUAGAAAGGUAUCUAGAGAUUAAAAAAAUGAGCAUUUUUUUAAAAUUUUUUUUAGAAACUAAAAUUAUCAUUUUAAUUCUGGAAGCAUCAUCAAUAUAUUAGAGACGAUUGGUGCAAUUUUCUCAUAAUAAAACCAUGAGCUAAGUUUAGGCUUCCCAGAGGUGCUUCCCUUAACAAAAUCUGCAUACGAUCUUGUAACUGAGUGGGAAAUAUCUCAUUAAGUUCUGUCAGCUCUUGAGCUCUUGAUCUUGUAAUUGAGUUAUUUAGAACGGCGAUUGGAUGGCACUUCAUAGAAUGUGAGGCUAAAUCUGAAGCAUGAGAUUUGUCAAGUUAUGGGGAAUAUGCAAAGUGUUACUCAAGGCAAGUAUCUCGGAUUACCAAUGGUGGUUUCAAGAUCAAAGCAGCAGAUUUUUGGUUUUGUCAAAUCAAAUAUACAACAGAGAAUGAGCAAGUGGAAAAACAGGUUCUUAAGUACAGCAGGUAAGGAAAUUAUGCUUAAGUCAGUAGCCUUAGCCAUGCCGACGUAUACCAUGUCCUGUUUUAGGCUCCCAUCCAGAUUAUGUAAGGAACUCAGCUCACUAAUGUCAAACUACUGGUGGGGAGAGGCCAAUGGAAAGAAUAAGGUACACUGGUGCUCUUGGAGGAAGCUCACUCGGAGUAAGAAUAUGGGAGGAUUAUGCUUCAAAGAUUUGAUGGCAUUUAAUGCAGCACUUCUAGGCAAGCAGGUUUGGAGACUAAUAACGCAACCUAAUCUCCUAGUCAGCCAAGUUUUGAAGGCUAAAUAUUUUCCAAGGACUUCCAUAUUUAGGUGCAAAGUCCCCAAUACUGCAUCUUGGAUAUGGAGGAGCCUUAUGGGAGCUAGAGAGUUGGUGGAACAAGGAACAAGAAGAAGGAUUGGCAAUGGAAACAACACCAAUAUCUGGGAUGAUUGCUGGAUCCCGGGUAAUAUAAAUGGGAAAGUCACGACCAGAAGACAUAUGGACAAUGGACUUCAAAAAGUUCAUGAGCUGAUCUGCCAAAAGUCAUGGAAUACGAAUCUGGUUUUCAAAAAUUUCAAUCGACAAGAUUCUGAAAGGAUUUUGGCCAUACCAAUAAGCUUAUCAGGGAAGGAAGAUAGUCAUUUCUGGAUAUACGGGACAGAUGGAAACUAUACCGUUAAUUCAGGGUAUAAGCUUCAGGUGCGGCAAGAAGGAAGUAAGCACAGCAGAAACCAGGUGGAGGGAUCUACUAGUUGGGAGGAUCAAACACAAAAGCUAUGGAAGGAAGUGUGGAAAUUGAAAGUGAAGCAUAAGCAGAAAAUCUUCCUAUGGAAAUGUCUCAAUGAUGCGCUUCCAGUGAGAGAUCUUAUACAAGGCAGAAUCAAAGUUGGAGACCCCAUUUGCAAGAGAUGUGGAGAAGAUAGGGAAACCUUAGAGCAUACCCUUUUGAACUGCAGGGAGGUAAAACUGAUAUGGAAGCUAGCCCCUAUCCAAUGGGAAGGAAUGAUGGAGCAACAAGGGAAUUUCCGUAAUUGGUGGACAUCAAUCUCAGAAGCCAGGAAUAGACCAGAAGGUGGGCAACAUAUUUCGUUGUCUGUCCAUAUUCUAUGGCAGAUAUGGAAAGCUAGGAAUGAGGAGGAAUUUAAUGGGAAAAAAAACAGCCUUGGAAGAUUAUUCAGAAGGCGCAUCAGGAAUGGUUAGAAAUGGUGGAAUUAGAUACUAAGGAAUCUAGGAUGAGCACAGACGAAACAAUAGCUCUACAGCAACACAGUUCGCAGUCAGCUUCAGAAUAUGGGAUAUUGGAAGUACGGAUUGGGGUAACAUCAGAUAUAUCCAACAACGCCUUUGGCAUUGGAAUCAGCCUGAAUCAAGGAAAUCAAGGACCACACCGAGGAUGGGCGCUACGAGUAAGAAGUUCAGGAUCAAUUCUGGUGGAUGAGGCAAUUGCACUGAAGCUGGCAAUGUGUAAGACAGCCACAACGCAAGCCAGGGAAGUGCAAUUUCAAGUGCAAAACCCACAAAUCCUUAACAAUAUUCGCACAAACAGAGUAAGUGAGAUUAGAUUAGCGACUGUUGUGGAUGACAUUCUUCAAUUAAGCCAAUUGUUUCAUAUGUGCUCCUUUUGCCUAGUUAGAAAAGAUAAGACUCAAUUAAGCUAUAAGCUUAGCAUUCAUGCCUUGGGCAUUAUUUUUGAUGAGGAACAUUGGUUUCCUUAGUGGUAAAUAUGCCGCUUGUAAAGUUCAAUCAAGCCCUUGCUCGCACUUGUAUAUCUUUUGUCAAGCAAUACAAUCAAUUAUCAUUUCGAAAAAAAAAAUAAAAAUAAAUGGAAUUCAAAAAAAAAUUAAAAAAAAGAAAUAAAAAUCAUUUUUCUUCUUCCUCUUUUCUACAACAUUCUAUUUUGUCCAUUUUUUCUGUAUGGCUAUGCGACUUUUUUAUAAAUUAUUGUAAAUUGAAUUUUGUUCUUUUUUUUUUAGUGAUUGAGGCAGAGUGCAGUACAAUUUCUUUGGUUAAUUUGAUUUGAUAUUUAUAGCGAUUUAGUACAACUUAAAGGGAAGUUUCUUAAAUUAUCCCUAUUUAUCUAACUCAAAUUUGUAUAUCUACCGAUGAUGCAAGUUGCCAGAAUGUUUGAUAUACAGAAAAGAUUCAAAAUUGAGUAGAUAUACAUUGACUUGGUCUUCAACUGGUAUGAUGCAUCAAAAUUCUUUAGACAAAAACAAUAAAUGUUUAAAAAGGACGUCCUCUUCAACUUGCAAGAGAUUAAAUUGAGGGAUAAUUCAAAAGUCUCCCUCAACGUGUUUUGGCAAUUCCAAGAAAGCUCCCUUCCAAAUUUUAAUAUUUUACAUACCUUCCUUCAAUAUGCAAAAGUACUACUCUUAUAACCCCAAUAUAUUUAGACGCAUAUUCCCACAAAAGGAAAUCAAAAUCAUCAUCCUUACACCACUCUUUUUUUUUACUCUCACGACCAAAUUGUUAAAUUUUUCCUUAUCUCUCUUUUCCUUUUUCUUUUCUCCAUCCCUUGUCCAACACCUUCCUUGAAAUCUUGGUGUUCGUUCACUUUCACACCUACAAGUGGGAAGUGUUUGUCACCUUUCCUGCACCCUUCCCCUUUCCUUGUGGCCCUCCACCUUAUUCCUUCCCCUCCAUCUUCGUAAAUAUACUAAGAUAAUUUGGUUUUCUCUUUUUCUUUUAGUGAGUUCACAGGUAUGAUAGAAAUAAAAAUAAUUGUCAUAUCUGUAUAUACUUCAGUCAUAUAAUCAUGGUUGAUUUGUUAAUUGUUCUUUUGUGUGAAAUUGGCUAUAUUAUUUCUAUUAUCAAGUUGUGUUGAAGAGUCUACUGGACCAAAGCCAGCUAAUUACAGCAAAUUUGAAGAUAUAUAAAAAUGUGACAUAAGUAGCUUGCUUUUCUAAGGCUUCUUGCUUUUUCUAUCCUUUUCCUACAAGUUAAAACCUAGGAUACUUUUCAACAUUCAACAGUCUUUUUCUAUCCUUUUCAUUUUUUCCCCGGUUGUUGUCUUUACUUUGGAAAAUAAAUGGAGUAAGAAUUUGUCUACACACUUACAAAAAAUAAAAAAUAAAAAGAAUUUGUUUACACACUUUUGAAUGCCCAUUCUUUGUCUAUCCUAUUCAUUUUUCAUUUUUGCACUUAAAGCAUGUUAAUUAUUUAAUCUUCUUAUGCCAACUGGCUAUUAAGUUAUCCUUAAUGGUGUAACAAUGUUUUGGGCAAAUAACAUGUUGGGAAAAAAAAUCUAAGUCCAUAAUGACAACAACUAGUCAAACCAUUAUACUUGAAUUUAAGCACCCUUAUCCUUCCAAAUUUUUAAACCCUCUAUACAAACUUUAUAUUAAAUCACCCUUACUAAAGCUAACAUUUAUGGAGGCAAAGGCAAAGUUCAAAGUGAAAAUGCUUAAUAUUCCUGCUCCACUACUUUUGUCUUUUAUACCAAUCCUAUAUUUACUAUCGCCAUUUGAAAAAAAAAAAACCUCAUGCUAAAAACAUUGGCAAAAAAUAAACUAUAUAAGAUUUGGCAAUUCUAGUUAUUAUUAAUUCCCUAAACACCCCUUUCCUCGAUUUUUAGUCUUCCUAUGUUAACCUCUGAUUAAAUUAUCCUCAUCAUUCUGACCAUUAUAUAUGCAGAAAAAAAAAGAAGAUAAUAAAUCUAAAUCUACAAAAAAAGGUUAAUCUAAUAAUUGUCGAAUGCUAACAUCUCUCUUGGCCACAUUCUUAGUCUCAUACGCCAAUCUUUAAUUAAGUUUCUUUUGUUAUUCUAACAAUCAUGCAAGCAAAACAAAAAUUGUAGAUAAAGCCAAAAAUAGGAAAAAAUACUAUUCUACCAAUUAUUGUUGCAUUUAACACUCUCUUCCAAUCUUUUUUAGUCCUCCCUUGCAAAUAUAUGUAAGAAGGGUUUUUCUAAUGAAUGCCUUGAGAACACUUUUUGACACACCUAACAUUCGUCUAAUCUACCAUGUAUAUACACAUACUAAAAAUCAUUAUCCUCCCUUGCAUUUAUAUACUUUUGCUAAUUAAUCUUGUCCACCUUCUCUUGUAUUUAUUUAUUUUUCCUAAUUAAUCUUAUAUUUCCAAAAUUAUGAUGCCCGAAAUAUAUCUUAAUGAGAGUCUUAUGAGUACCCGUUAGACAGACCCAUGUAAGAAAUCAAUGUGGUAAAAAAUUCAAGAUAGGACAAGGCAAAAGGGUGAAGUUGGAACAAAUACAUCUAUCUCUUUAAAUGAUUAUUUUAAGAAUAUUUUAUAAUUUAGGGGUGAGUUUGUUACAAAAUAUAUGGUUGUAGGGGAAGUUAGUGAUAUUUUUAACAUUUCAAGAGUGUUAAGUGAUAUUAGACAAAACCUCAAGGGAGGUUUCCAAGAUUAUCCCUAUAUAUGUAGCUAAAAUUUGUAUAUCUAAUGAUGAUGCUAAUUGCCAGAAUGUUUGACAUAGACAAUUUUUGUAGCGGUAUACAUUUGCCUUACCCUCAAAAGUGUUUAUGGAUUCUAUUGACUUGUUCUUCAACUAGUACGAUGCAUCAAAAUUUUUAAGAAAGAAAAAUUUUUAAAAAGGGUGUCGUCUUUGACUUGCAAGAGAUUAAAUCGAGGAUAAUUUCAAAAGCCUCUCUUAAAGUGUUUUGACAAUUUCAAGAGUCUCCCUUAUAAUAUUUAAUAUUAUACGUACCUACCAUCAAUGUGCAAAAGUACUCUUAUACCCCCAUUAUAUUUGCACACAUAUUUCCCACAAAUGAAAAUGAAAAUAAAAAUGAAAUCAUCACCCUUACGCCCCUCGUUCCUUUACUGUCAUGACCAAAUUCGCCCUAUUUCUCUUCCCCCUUUUCUCUUCCCCAUCCCUUAUCCAACACCCCCUUGAAAUCUUGGUGUUUACUUCUUCGCAUCUACAUGUAGUCAGUGUACGCUACCUUUCCUGCUCCUUUCCCCUCUCCUUGUGGCCCGCCACCUUCAUUCCUCCCCCCGCACCUUAGUUAAUAUACUCGGAUAAUUUGAUUUUUUUCUUUUUCUUUUUAUGAGUUGAUGAGCUGAUAGAUUUGGAUAUACUUGUCUCACAAUCAUUGUUGCAAGAUUAGUCGUUCAUUUUGUUGAAUUGGCUAUAUUAUUUGUAUUAUCAAGUGGUGUUGAAGACUAUUGACCAAAGCCUGCUAAUUAAUUAAGCAAAUUUCUAGAUAUAUACAAAUGUGAUGUAAGUAGCUUGUUUUUCUAAGCAUUCCUGUGCAUCUACAAGUGGCGUGCCUUGUCUGAGGUUGAGUUUAGGGACCAUUUGACCAUUUCAAACGGCAUACAAAUGAAGUUAUGAGAUGAUAAUGCACAGACAACUAAUCCAUAUUCGACCACAUAUUCUUCUUGAAGCCAAAUACUAUUAGGUGGCGUUUGGCACAGGGUAUGGGGAAUCAGGAUUUGAAAUCAUAUCCACUCUUGUUGUCUGGAUAAUGGAUAUGGGACUUGAAAUUUUGUAAUGAUUUUCAAAAAUCUGGCACCUCUCAGUUCUGAGUAAUUUAAGAGGUUUUGUUAAUUCCUCCAUUUGAUUCCAAAAUAGAUUUUCUUAAACAUUUCUUUCAUCGAAUCUGCUCCCCCAUCUCUACCCAUAUCUCCUCCUCUUCCCCACCAAUAAAUCACCUUCCCCAUCACUAUCGGCCGCUUGCUGUCCAGUAGCCCACCACUCCAAAUCCACUCUCUACCACUCCCGUCACCCCAAUCCCACUCACCUCAGCCACCCUUAUCUUUUUGCCACCCUCGACCCGUCCAACCCAUCAGUCCCCAGUUUCACUGAGCCUGCCAGUCAACCCCUUUGCCCCACCUCCCCUACGGCUGAUGUAUCCCUUCCACCUUCCACAUAGUAGAGGCAAAUAUCUUAAUUGUCUUUGUUCUUGGGUGGUCUAGGAAUUUUGGAAGUAGUAGUUGAGAACUGCCGGUCUAGAAACAUGCAGACGGAAUUUCCAGCGGAGAAAGGUUGGUAAUGGAAAUUUAUUGAAAAAAAAAUGAAAUAAUGUUAUUUGAAAUCCAUUCCUCACUGUUAUGCACCAAACAUCGGUGAUCGUAAUCAUCCCUCUAACCAAAACCCAUGCUGAUUUUUCAUUUAUGAUUCCAAAUCCAAUUGCAAUUCCAAAGCUUGAACCAAACACAUAGUUAAGAUUAAUGUGGCCCCAAACUCAGUGGUCCUCGCUUUUAUUUCAAACUUAGCAUUAUCCUCACUUCUCAUCUUUCAAUGUUUGAUCUAUUAUUAUAUAGAUGUCGUACUAUAUGAUGCCCGCAUUAAAGUCUUGGUACUUUCUUCAAAGUCACAAAUUAAGCAUAGUCACAGUAUUUGGUAGUAUAACAGCAUCAGAAAAAUUAAUUUGCUAGAUGUUUUGUUGAUUUCUUGAAAUUUCUGUUUGGCAUACACAGUCACAUACAUGCUGCCUUAUUGACUUAUGAAACAAAGCUUAAUAAUUCCGAGUUUCCAUACUUUUUUAUAUGGGGAAAAAAAAGAAAACUGGUGCAAAGUUUCUGUCAUAAUUGGAGAUAAUGAUGAAAAACAUAUGGGAUGGGCUACAUCUAUACCCCUAUAACCUAAAUCCACACCUCUAAUGCAUUAAUAACUUGUAUUAAGAGCAUGAUAAUUUGUACUAGUAGCAUUAAAAGUUAUAUCAGAUUUGAAUUUAGACCGCAGAUGUGAACCAACAUAAUAAUACCCAAAAGGCCUUUGUUUGGAAAGCCAUUUUCCUAGAAACUACCAAGUGUUAACCCAUGCACAGCACCGGGGAGUAUAGUCAGUACAUUUCAUUUGAGGAUAAAAAAUGUAAUUAGUCCAGUUGAUUUGAUUGGUUAAUUAAGAGUGAGAAGUCCUGAGGUGAUUUUUUAUUUACCACAAUGCAUUAGUAUCUUUGAUUGCGUAAAAGAUAUCUCACUUUUAUUUUAAUACAGCUUUAGUGACGGUCACAUUUUCUUAUCUUUAUGUCAGAGUGCCGAAUUGGUAGUGCAAGGGAGAAACCGAAUGCAAUAAACUCAACAUUCUUUAAAAUCAGCAAGUAUCACAGGAACUGCAACCUCACAAAAACUCUGCAGAGAAUUCCAAUAAUAACCAGCACCCCUUACUUCUCCCAUUGAUCUACUGAUGAUACCCCAAGAACACGGCCUAAUUUUGAGUAAUAGAGUGUGAUUACAGACCCUACUUCAGGGAAGCAAAAAUGUUAUUAACUCUUAUUAAAACUAAUAAUAAAAGAUCACAAAUUCAAGACCAAGCAAGUUGAAAAUGACUUCUUUUACACAAGCGCGUGCGGACACACACACACACAUAUAUAUAUGAAUUUGCCACUUUUGUGCGAAAUUUGAGAGCUUUUUUAAAUAUUCUUGAUUGCAUUGAGUGGUCACGCAAUUUGUGUUGUACAUGUAUAUGUAGCAAGUGCACAAAUAUUUUUGACGUCUAUCGACAUAUUUCCGGGGUUUACUAUAAAAGUCACAGCCAAGUUUGAAACUUCCAAGUUGUGAUAAUAUCAUUAGUUUGAAAAGUCACAGGCAAGUUUGAAACUUCCAAGUUGUGAUAAUAUCAUUAGUUUGAAAAGUCACAGGCAAGUUUGAAACUUCCAAGUUGGAUCGAUAACGCCAUUGGAAUAUCUAAUAUAAAUCCUGGACAGGAAAUCUAAGUUGUGAUAAGUUGGACAUCAAGGAUGGAGACAUGGGGCCGGGGACGCAUCCCAGAACUUUUGAAAACCUAUUUUUAUACUUCUUUAUUUAUAAAAUUAAUAAAAUUUUCCUAUUUCCACCCCCCUUCCUCAAAUGUAAUUAAUAGUAAUCUUUUAUGUCCGGUCUUUACUUAACUUUCACAUAACAUACGAACCUCUAAUAUCCUAAACACGGUAGUAUAUCAAUUAAAAUUCCAAUUUCUAGAUAUAAUACAUAAAAAAUGAAAAUACAACCGAAAUAAAAAAAUUAAAAUGUCAUUGAUGGCCAUUGUAACAGACACAACUCACAAAAUGUCAUUGUGUUCAACUCUAUCUAUCAAUCUCCAAAUUCCAACUUUAAGUACACUAAGGCAAGUCCUAUCUUUAAGGUUUUUUUUUCUUUAGAGAUUCUUCUAUUAUUCUUUUCAAUCGUCAGUAAUUCUCUAUUUAAACAAUUAUUCUUAGCCAUUUAGUAUUAUUCUUCCUAACAACUAACUUUAAUGCAAUAUGAUUUACGCGAUUUUUUUUAUGGUAUCUUACUUUAAUAUCAAAUCAAACUUGAUACUCUUGAAUUCUAAGAUAAUUUUUGUAAAAAGUAAAUUCAAUAAUAAGUUUCUAUAUAUUGUAUUGAAUUUUAUUAUAAUUAUUUUGCUUCAGACUUAUCCUUUCACUAAAAUGCUAGUUAUGCUAUUUUGAAUUCAGAAUCACAAUUUGUGAUACUUUCGUUGUUACAUUCUUUUGUAUUUCAAGCUCUCCAUUAUUUACCCCCCGAAGCAAAACUUUUGGCUCCGUCUGUGUCGGAUAUUCUUAUCACAUAUGGCAUCAUAAUUAUCUUCAACCACCGACUAAAUCGUGCGGUCGAAACAUUUCCAUGCAUAGUUUAUCUCUCCAUCGUGAAACAUGUCACGUAAAUUUCCCUAUAAAUAGAGAAGAGGAUGCUCCAGCUUCCUCAGCCUUCUCAUUGUUCUCAACUCCAAUUCUUCAGUUCGUAAACCAAUUUGUGUGAGGAAAACAAAAAUGGGUUCCAAGGCAAUUCUCCUCCUAUGCCUUUUGGCAGCAGUUCUAAUGAUUGCCUCAGAGGUGACAGCCAGGGAUUUGGCCGAAAAUAGUAAGCUUUUUUUUUUUUUUAAAGUGACCGAAAAUAGUUAGCUAUCCAUUCAAUAACUUACUCUUUCCUUUAUCAACAAUUUUAUACCUGCAAAACAUGAAUUCCUCAAGACCCUUUUUUUCCUUUUAAAAAAAAUAUUGGUACUAACUAAAUAGUUCUGCAUGAUCCCGUGACUAUUUGCAGCCAAUGCAGGAGAGAAGAGUAAUGAAGGCCUGGAAGAAUCCAAGUAUGGUGGUGGCGGCGGUUGUUAUGGAGGCCAUUGUGGUGGUGGCGGCGGUUGUCAUGGAUACGGUUGUGGUGGUGGUGGCGGCGGCGGUUGUCAUGGAUACGGUUGUGGUGGUGGUGGCGGCGGCCACCAUUGUUACCAUGGUUGCUGUGGCCACGGCUAUGGAGGCUGCAGAUGCUGCACAUAUGCUGGUGAGCCAAAGGACGCUGGUUACACUGAGCCAGAAACCAAACCGCAAAACUAAUAGCCAGGACGUAUGGAUCAUGGCGCUUAAAUGCCUUUGGUCCAAAUUAAGAGGCUAAAAGUAAUAAAAUUAUGUAUUGUGUGAUAAGAAUAAGAGCUUUAUCAGUGGUAUCGAAUUCACCAUCAGGUGAAUCACUGCAAAUGAUGAUGUACUUUUCUCAACUUCAAUGACGUGUAAAUGAAAUCUUAUGCGUGUUUCAAGUUUCAACAGCCAGUAUUUCUGCUUGGAUUCACAAAUAUACUCACAUGCUUCGUUGUCUAAAUCUAAAUUAUACCCAAAUAAUUCAAGAAUAUUUGCUGAGAAAUUUUUUAACACUUCGAGGUUUCAACAAGAGAUUCCCAAAAGCUACACUAUCUUAAGCCUUGACUCCUUUCAGACAGGAAAAAGAAUGGCAAAAGCUCCUUUUGUGAUCAUUUACUAGUAGAUCUAGAGACAGUUUUGUCAUUUGAGCAACAAACUUCAGGCAAGGAACAAAGUCAUGUUUUUUGAAUUUAUUUAGUGUAUCGUGCUGUUAAAGCUUAUGAAAUUAGAUAGUCAUGUUCCUGAUAUUGGAAAACGACAUUCAGUGUACUGGACCCCUUCCUUUGAACUGAUCAUGCACAAGUGUUUUACGUCCUCGAGUCUCAAAUUAAAUUCAGGAUAAUUGACACUCUUGUAGCCAGCUAGUCAAUUAGACUUUUAACUUUCUCGUGAAAUCAAACUAGUUAAAUAAACAAAAUCUCUUUGAGCUUUUGACAUGUUUUUUGGUCUGGUUAGAUUAAAUAUUUGGUUUUAUCAUUUCUUUUCAGCUCGUACAUUAUACUUGACAGAUAGGGGAGAUAAGGGUAUUUUUUUUUAAUCUAUUUUUAAUCAAACACGUAACAAAACCGGAUAGAUAGUGAGUUUGUAAAAUCUAUUAUCACAAAUAUUGGGAUUAGAUUAGUUGAUUAUGUAUAUUAAAAUUGCAAAAAUAAAAAAUAAAAACUACUUUGAAGAUGGUUAACUGAUUUAUAGAUGAACCAACGUACCAAAUUUAGCCUUGAAAUUGUUGUAUAUUUGAACUACUAAAAUUACAAAUUUUUUGGUGCAAAGCCACUAAAAUGACUUCAUGUAGCAUGAGAUUGUUUUGCCAUGACACAAAAAUGCUCAUAAAAGAGACACAUAAAUUUUUUUUAUAAAUAAAAAGUCUUGAAUAUAAGAUAUUCUAAUUAUGAUUUUUUUCAUCUUACCGUCAAACCCAACCUUCUCCUGUCAAACUAGCAAAUACAUACAGUGAAUAUUACAUCACUUCUCAAGCACUUAUUUGUGUUAGUUCGGAUGCUCAGCAUCCUCAGGCUGACCAGGAUAUGGGCAGCACCUGCAACCCCUACCUUAACAGCUUCAGCUGCAACAAUAAAAGCGGCAAUAUCCACCGUAACCACCGCGAGGGUACCACCAUAUCCACCCCCCCAGGAUAUCUCUAGCUCUCAUGGAUAGCCCCACAUACAUCCAGGGUACUUGGCUUCUUCUGCGCCAUUCGUCUCAAACUGUCUUGUCUACAUUGAAGAUAAUAAAGCGUGUAUUGGUAUAAUCUAGGAAUGAUUUAUACUUUCGAACUUUGGUCCAAUUGGUGCGUGCUUUUAUUUUAACGAAUACCAAAAUCUAUAAUGUUUUUAAACUCAAUCGAGGGUUUUCUUUCAAACUAUGUGCCAUGCAAAUUCAGUAUCUUUACAGAUACCAAUAAAACGGUUAAACACUACGAACUAUUAGGUAGUUUUAUCAUAGCCAACCAUAGAUGACUGAUCACUAUACGCCAAGUCCCAAAGUCAGAAAGACUUCUACACUUCAAUGUACAGUAGUUUUAAAUUAAGGUGUGUUUAAAUUGUAAAGUAUUUUUUUAAAAGCAUUUAAACUGCAAAGUACAAAUGUUUGGGGACAUUUCAAAAUAUAAAAUAUGACACUUUAAAUUGGACGAAUGGAGUACUAAUUUCAGUUGUACAUUUAAAGCACGUUUUGUUCAAUUUAAAAUAUCAUGAUUUCUAUUUUGGGAUGUCUCCAAAUGUUUGUCAUCUUAUCAAAAUCAAAAUUAAUAUUAUCACAACCUUUAUCUAUGUUUCAUACUAGAUUCAAAUUUGAAUUUCAAAUUUCGGAUAAAAGAUUGGAAACAAAACACUAAUAUCACAAUUUAGACACUAUUCUUAACAAGUUGAAAUUCUGAAAUGCGACAAACACUUUGGGACAAAGAGAGUACAUGAUUUAAAAGGUGAAAUUUGUCGUCCUAAAAUAAAAGGACGAAAUUAGACUAGACAACAAAUGUCUUGCUACUGUCAACUGAAUUGGAGGACUCAGCCAAUUCCCUAGCAAUUAACCACUUCUGAGGUAAUCAUUAACACGGUAGCUAGCCAUGGAAAUGCAAUAGAAAAGAAAUGUCUUCGAACCCAUUUUAAUUUGCUGAAGGAAACUGAUUUUGUGAAGGAUGAGAAAGCUGGAGGUAAUUCUUUGUAAAAUUGCCGUCAAAGGGGUCGUGGCCUCGGCCAACGAUGUAGUUGGACUUUAAAGUUUAAACAGAUGAUUGAUUGCUGUAUUUGGUACGAUGUCAUGUCAAGAAAAUUAGUGAUAUACCAAAUGCACUUAGUCUAUUCACCCUUUCACAGCAAUCAUACAAGUGAUUAAUACAUCAAAAAGAAUUUACUCAGUCCAUCAAAUGUCUGCGAAGUCCAUAUUACUAAGUUGGUUUUUCUUCCGGGACACUUCGAGUCAUUAAAUCCACAGAGCAAGCAUGCACGAUUGCAGAAUCAGUUGGUGCAGUAAAAGUUGAAUUCGUAUAUGCCGACUGGUACUUGUUUUUAUUACACUUUAAAGUGUCCAUAUAAUUUUUCCGACAAAUGAGAAUGAAUUAUGUCUUUUCUUAGUCAAAGAUUGGAUUCAUUUUAAAAGGGUAAAAAGAGUGAUAUGGCAAUUUUAAAUAUUAAUAUUAAUACGCAUUUACAAUUUGACACAAGUAAUUUAUAUCUUUUUUCUGUUGCUUUAUGCUUCUUUCGUCACCAAAACAUGCAUGUUUGGCACUAGACAAUAAUUUUCAUCAAAGAAUUAUUAUGCUCACAACCACUAAUGAAAAGAAAAAAAUAAAUAAAAAAAAGACACCAUCACAGGUUUUUGGGUUAAUAUUGUCAGGAAUAUCAAAUAUAUCAUCAAUGGCGUCUCCAAGUCUAUUGCUAACCGAUUCUUGAUUGUAUUUGAACUCAAGACAGCCUUUUCUCAAACCCCCUCCUAUUUAUGUUUAAUAGGAAAUCCGAUUUUUCCUACAAGUUAAAACUUAGGAUAAGUAUCAACAUUCAACCGGACUAAUUUAAAAUUACUUUUGAGUGCCUAGUCUUUGUCUAUCCUUUACAUUUUUUGCGGUUGUUGUUAUUUCUUUGAAAAGUAAACGAAGAAUUUGUUUGCACACUCUCAGAAAAGAAAAGAAAAAGAUUUUGCUUGCACUCUUUCGAAUGCCCUUUCUUUGUCUAUCCUUUUCAUUUUUCAAUUUUACACUUAAAGCAUUUUAGUUAUUUAAUCUUCUUAUGCCAACUGGUUAUUAAAUUAUCCUUGACAGUAUAAGAAUCAUAUAACCAAAAAAAUCUAAGUCUCUAAUGACAACAACUAGAACAUAUAUAUUUGAAUUUAAGCAUCCUCAUCCUUCCAAACUUCUAAGCCCCUCUAUAUGAAAUUUAUACUAAAUAAGCCUUAUUUAGUAGGCCAAAAAAAAUGUUGGAAGUGAAAAUGCUAAAUAUCCCCGGUCCCCUAGUUUUGUCUUUCUAUACCAAUCCUAUAUUUACUCUCGCUAUUAAAAAAGACUUUAUGCACAAAAAAAAUUGGAAAAAGAUUUGGCAAUUCUAAUUAUUAUUAUUUCCCUAAUCACCCCCUCCCUCAACUUUUAAUCUUCCUAUCCACCUUAUAUCAAAUUAUCCUCAUUAUUUCACAAGAAAAAGGAAGAUAAUAAAUUCAAAUCUAUUAAAAUGUAUUAAAAUGGCUAAUCUAAUAAUUGUUGAAUGCUAUUGUCUCUCUUUGCCACAUUUUAGUCUUCAUAUGGAUGAAAGAUGGUUCCAGACAACAAUACCUUUGUUGAGCAAACCCAAAAACUAAGAAAAGGGGAUGAACUGAUGGCCAACACUUGAUGCUAUAAAUUUUUUAAUAAUUAGGAUUAAUUUUGUCUUAACCAUCCUGGUUCUAGAAUGGUUGGAAGUGGUAAAGAUAGCUAAAAAGACAAUCUUUUAACUUAGACCUUAAACCAAAAUACAUGAAGUUGAAGCAGCAGAAUUUGAAUAGUAACACCUAUCUAGCCAACUUCUUCCAAUUAUCCCUAAUGAUUGUGUCUAAUAAAUCAUUUGUAAUAAACCUUUGCAGUGAAUGGAAUUUAGCCAGCUGAGCAGUCUAGAAGUCUAAUCAGUGACGUCAAACCUUGUUCUCCAACCUUUAAUUUGCAACAACCUUUAAUUUGCAACUCACUAAAAAGACCAAUGCAACAAACUUACAUUCCUAAAAUACCCCUCCCUCAUUAAUUCCUUUCACCAAUUACCUACUAAACCACAUUCUCCCCAAUUUAAUUAGAGACUAAGGAAGUUUAAGUAAUUACAGCCACACAAAAGCUAUUAUCACUUAUACCCAUAGCUAAAAAGACAAUCAAAAUAAUCAUACAUUUCCAAAAUACCCAUAAAAAGACACAACCCCAUUUCUGGAAAUGUAUGACAAAAGAAUUCACAAUAAGUUGUAUUCUGUGUUGUACCUACAAUAUAAACUUUAAAUGUACAAAUAUGAGGAUAUCUUUGUAAACAUACUCAAACACACGCUGCUAUGAGUUGUACCAAAAGCUUUAAAAAAGCAACAUAUUAUUUCAUAUUUCCAAAAUGCCCCUACUCAUACGGUUGAAAUUCAAAGCCCCCUUUGACUAAAACUCAUUCUUAUAUAGUAUAAGGAUACUAGCUCUUUAAAGAAAAAAGAAAUAUUUGGUUUGAUUUUACUUCUCCCUUAAUAGAGCUAUAUUCCAUAUGAUUAAUUUUACGUUAAAUUAUGCUAAACUGGAAGAGUUGCUUAUAUUUAACUUCCUAUUUUUGUGCUGGUUUUUCAUUGGAGGGGAACAAAGGGCUUGUCUUCAAACUCACCAUUGAUGGCUAAUAGAAAUGCAUUCAGAUUUCAGACUAAUGUUCAUAGAAAUUUAAGCAUUAAAGGCUUUCACCACCACCUUAGGGGUUUUCAACUGUUCAUGGCUCUAUUUUGUCCUCAAAAAUUACAUUUUUGUCAAAAGCAGAUUGAGAUCAAUUCACUGAUACACGCAUCUAAAAAUGGACACAUGCUUGCAUCAAUAUAUUACAUAUAUUUCUCGGCCUUUGAGACAGUUAUUUCAACAUAUUUGUCAAACACAACGAACUGAUUUUCAAGUUAUGGAUUAAUUAGUUUGACAUAUAGCAUUAGAAUUAGUCAAUACAUUCCUAGCAAUACGUUCCUAACAAGAGAGCAAAACACCUUGAUCAGCCUUUCUUACAUCCUUUAAAUAAGAAAGUUUCUAAAAUCUUUGACACCAAUAUGAAGAACUACCAUUAUUUAGCCUAUGUUGUUGAAACCUUCACAAAAUGCCUCUGUUAAUUUAUGUGUAACUGUACAUAAUUGAGUAGAUAUAAGUUUUCAUUGAAUCAUUAAGUGGGCCAUGAUGAAUACACUGUAAAAUAAAGUCAGACCAUUUUCAGAUGAAUGAAUAAAGUGCAUAAACAUUUUUUCUAAAAAUAAAAAAAAAAAAAUCACCAGAGCUUUUCUUUGAUUCAGUGUUCCCUCACUGACAAAGUAGUGUGCGAGAGGCAAGAUUUUGAGAUUGAACUACAUCUUUCCAGCAAUCGUACUCGUGGGCCAUGCACAACUUGUUGAAAUAAUAAGAAAAUUGUUAGAUGCUUUAUGUGUAUUACUUAGCAUUGGUACCAGGUGUAUUAAUAACAUUAGUAACUUAUCACUAGAUAAUGAUAGCAAGUCACAUUUUAUAAUAGGUUAAUAUUAAUAGUUUAUCAUCAAAAUAAUUGUAAGUCAUAGUAUUUUAUUUAAUAUGUGAUGUACAGGGUGGUGAACUAGGAUUAGUACUAUAGCUUAUGAAAUUGCACAUUGAAAAGCAUCUUGUUGAACAGCUUAUGCCUUGUAGACAUUUCCUAUGAGUUUAGCAUUGAGUUGAACUUAUGCUUCAUUUAGGGUGUAGAUAAUGUGAAAUCUAGAAUUAAUGAGAAUUAUUUAUUUAAAUAGUACAAUAUGCAUAAAAUAAGAAUUUUCAAGUUGUAUCACGCCAGUACAAGUGUAGCUUAUACUUUUUAUAAAUGUCCUUAUAGUAUGUUCAAGAAGUCGAGAAUAAUAAAUAUCCUAAUAGUAUGUCUGUUUUGCUUCUACCUAGACAAAUACAUGCAACAGUUUCUACUACGACUACUUCUCCCCAAAUAAGGCUUAAAAACCCAUGAUGUGGAUAGAAGCCUGGAUUAGCUGGUCAGUUAUUGCUUCUUUUUUUUAUAGGGAGUUACACAUAAUUCUUGGAGUUUUAUGACAGGAAAGUGACUCUAUUUUUAUCUGUUCUUUUGUAGGUAUACUGAAUUCAGAGGUGUAGUACCUUACCAUUCGGUUGAAGACUUGGCAUUUUCUCUUGUAGAAUUUAUUGAAAAGGGGUCUUUUUUUAUUAGCUAUUACACGGUAAAGUUUAGUGCUUUAAAAGUUAUUUUUGCUCAAAUUCUUGCUAAAUUACUGUUGUGAUUGUCUUCUUAGUUUCUUGUCUUUAUGGAAGUAUCAGGAACAAAUUUUGGCAGGACAGCUGGUGGACCAUUUACUGCCACUAGCUAUUAUUAUGAUGCUUAUCUUCAUGAAUAUGGUAUGUAGACUGCGUCAGCUCCUAAACUCAUGCUCUAAGCUUGCCGUAUUCAUCUCAUUUCAUCUAGAUGCUAAUGUUUUUCUGGUAAACUAGCUUUUGGGUUGGCAUUUGCUUUUAUAAUGGCCAUACUUGUCAGCACCUAAGAAACCUCAAUCUGCCAUGUCAUUUAAACUGGACAUAUGUGUCAUUUGACUGAGAGAGAGAGAGAGAUAAGAGAGGUAUAUUCAGUUCAAUUGCGCCUUUUUAAAUAGCUUUGUGUGUUUUCUUACUCUGGUAUUUGCUAUUGAUAUUGGUGUACAUUCAUAUAGGCAAACAAAUACCUAUUAGCGUUCAUGCACUGGUUUCAUAAUAACAAGUCAGAUACAUUGCCUUCUAAAGCUGACUGCCAGUAUUGUGGGGCAAAAAAAUUCCACUGUGAACUUUUAUUAGAGUUGGAGGACUAUAUUCAUCAUAACUCAAGAAAAAAGUGAAUGAGGCAGCAGAGAGCUGGGGAGUUUCUAAAGGGUUGUUGCUCCUCUCUAUUUUCAUGCCUAUGAUUUCAACAAUUUAAAAAACAAAAGAAAAGAAAUUAGUAGCCCUUUGCGGAAAUCAGAAACUAGAAAUGCUAUCAAAUAAGGCGUCUUUAGAUUGCAGAUUAUCUCUGAAAAAUCUGCUAAGACGGUAGCGCUUUUUUCAUCUCCAACUUAAUUCUUUGGUGGUGCUGCUGAUUUACUGGGCAACCCAGAUGGCUUGUGGGAUAAGAAGCAACUCAUCUGCAUUUGUAACUGAGAAUUUGCAGCCAUGGUGGUGCCUCCCUCCAUUUCACCUUCGCUUUUUACAGAUCUGAGUCUAAUUGAUCAUUGUGUGUAUCUUCUCUAUAUCUUUUAAUUGCUUGAUUGUUUUUGUUCCAGUCUUGUGGCAUGUUGAUUUAUUGGUGGAUGAAUUUCAUUGGAAGCAAUACAUUGAUAGACCUAGAAACAUCAAUUUCAUUAAGUCAGGAGAAACCCAGAAAUUUUAUGCAGCAAUUAUAUGUUAUGAAACAUUAAUUUUGGCUUUUACUGAAUCGUCAAUAAGUACAAUUUGCAGUCAAUCAUCAUUUAUUUGAUAUAAUUUAGUUUCUGUUUCAAUUUGGGUUUUAGGAAGUUGAUGCACUGAUUAAUUUCUGGCAUAGAUAAGCACUUCUGAGUUCCAUAACUUGGUUCUUUGAUAGAGGAUUAUUCACUGGACAGAUCCUUACUGGGGAGACAAAGACUUUUAACAUAUUUCACUCUUCAAUCAUUUUGCAGCUGUCUUUGUUAUAUUAGUUUCUCUGGUUUUGCACAUGGACAUGGAUUUUACCUUAAUUACCCUGCUACUAUAAUGGUACUACAACUUAUGAUUAAUUUCAAAUAUCAAGUGUGCUAUGUUUCUCCUCUUCCCCCUCUCCCGGGGCCUGUGUUGCAGGAUUUUAAUAGCAUUUUCCUGAGUGCAACAAAUAUUAGUUUUGAAGAAUUGUAGGAUCUUCAGCAUACACGUUUGAGUAAUAUGCACUGUGGUAUAUCAAAAGAGAGAUGAUGUCAACAUGUAGUAAAAAAUUAGCAAAAUCCUUAGUUAUGUCGAUUUACAUUUUUUAAAGAAGACAGAGCCUAAUUGUUCUUUAUUGCUAUGCUUUGCUAUUUAGGUUUCUAUGACUCUCUAUGGAGCAUGUAUCAUGAUAUAUUGAUAUAUGCCUUUGCAUUGCACUGAUAUAGUUAUUAUUUAGUAGAAAAUAUUCACUACACAAUCAAUAGUCUUUUCAAUAGUUCUAACGCUCCUAAUCAGCAUCAUAUCAACCAUCUGUACUCUUUUAAACUAAUAUAUUCUCAACUAAUAUCAUAAUAACAAAUACAAUCUCACUAACAGGUCUAAAGUUCCCACACCUUGCGUGGGAAACCAUCACCUAGUAUAUAUAUAUAUAUAUAUAUAUAUAUAUAUAUAUAUAUAUAUAUAUAUGAAUUUGCCACUUUGUGCGAAAUUUGAGAGCUUUUUUAAAUAUAUUCUUGAUUGCAUCGAGUGGUCACAGCCAAGUUUGAAACUUCCAAGUUGUGAUAAUGUCAGUAGUUUGAAAAGUCACGGGCAAGUUUGAAACUUCCAAGUUGGAUAAUGCCAUUAGAAUAUCUAAUAUAAAUCCUGGACAGGAAAUCCAGUUGUGAUAAGUUGGAUAUGAAGGAUGGAGACAUGGGGCCGGGGACGCAUCCCAGAACUUUUGAAACCUAUUUUUAUACUUCUUUAUUUAUAAAAUUAAUAAAAUUUUCCUAUUUCCACCCCCUCCCCAAAUGUAAUUAAUAGUAAUCUUUUAUGUCUCGUCUUCACGUCUUGCUUGGAUUGCUUGUUUCCGUCGGAAAAUAUUGUCGUUUUCCGUGAUCACAUUUUCCUAUCACCUUUUUUCCUCACAUAUAUCAAAUCGCUACAGUAAUUUUUCCAUGAAAAAUGACGAAAAAUGCAAUCCAAACACAACUUGGAAUAACAUAUGAACCUCUAAUAUCCUAAAUACGGUAGUAUAUCAAUUAAAAUACCAACCUCUAGUCUCCGAGUUAAAUUAUAUUAUGAUAUCACUUAAAAUAGAUAUAAUAUAUAAAAAAUGAAAAUACAACCGAAAUAAAAAAAAAUUAAAAUGACAUUGAUAGUCAUUGUAACAGACACAACUCACAAAAUGUCAUUGUGACAAACACAAAAAGUUAGACCGCCUUGUUUUCAACUCUAUCUAUCAAUCUCCAAAUUCCAACUUUAAGUACACUAAGGCAAGUCCUAUCUUUAAGGUUUUUUUCUUUAGAAAUUCUUCUAUUAUUCUUUUCAAUCGUCAGUAAUUCUCUAUUUAAACAAUUAUUCUUAGCCGUUUAGUAUUAUUCUUCCCAACAACUAACUUUAAUGCAAUAUGGUAUAAGCGAUUUUUUAAUGUUAUCUUACUUUAAUAUCAAAUCAAACUUGAUAUUCUUGAAUUCUAAGAUAAUUUUUGUAAAAAGUAAAUUCAAUAAUAAGUUUCUAUACAGUGAAUGAUAAUAAAGUAAUAUUUUUUGUUGCAUAACACUCUGAUUAAUAAAGAGCAGAAUUGUAUUGAAUUUUAUUAUAAUUAUUUUGCUUCAGAGUUAUCCUUUCACUAAAAUGCUAGUUAUGCUAUUUUGAAUUCAGAAUUACAAUUUGUGAUACUUUCGUUGUUACAUUCUUUUGUAUUUCUAAGCUCUCUAUUAUUUACCCCCAGAAGCAAAAUUUUUGGCUCCAUCUUUCAUCUUUGUCGGAUAUUCUAUCACAUAUGCCAUCACAAUUAUCUUCAACUACCACCUCAAUCGUGCGGUCGAAACAUUUACACGCAUAUUUUAUCUCUCCAUCUUCGUGAAACAUGUCACGUAAAUUUCCCUAUAAAUAGAGAAGAGAAGGCUCCAGCUUCCUCAUCCUUCUCAUUGUUCUCAACUCCAAUUCUUGAGUUCAUAAACCAAUUUGUGUGAGGAAAACAAAAAUGGGUUCCAAGGCAAUUCUCCUCCUAUGCCUUUUAGCAGCAGUUCUGAUGAUUGCCUCAGAGGUGACAGCCAGGGAUUUGGCCGAAAAUAGUAAGCUUUCUUUUUUUUCUUAAAGUGACCGAAAAUAGUUAGCUGUCCAUUCAAGAACUUACUCUUUCCUUUAUCAACAAUUUUAUACCUGCAAAACAUAGACGUUUUUGCACAACAUGAAUUCCUCAAGACGGUUUUUUUCCUAUAAAAUUUUUUUUUUCUAGGACGCAUGUACUAACUAAAUAGUUCUGCAUGAUCCCGUGACUAUUUGCAGCCAAUGCAGCAGAGAAGAGCACUGAAGGCCUGGAAGAAUCCAAGUACGGUGGUGGCGGCGGCCGUUAUGGUGGCGGCGGCGGCCGUUAUGGUGGUGGCGGCCAUUGUUAUGGAGGCCAUUGUGGUGGUGGUGGUGGUGGUGGUCAUUAUGGUGGUGGUGGUGGUGGUUGUAACCAUGGUUGCUGUGGCGGCGGCGGCUAUGGAGGCUGCAGAUGCUGCACAUAUGCUGGUGAGCCAAAGGACGCUGGUUACACUGAGCCAGAAACCAAACCGCAAAACUAAUAGCCAGGACGUAUGGGUCAUGGCGCUUAAAUGCCUUUGGUCCAAAUUAAGAGGCUUAAAAGUAAUAAAAUUAUGUAUUGUGUGAUAAAAAUAAGAGCUUUAUCAGUGGUAUCGAAUUCACCAUCAGGUGAAU
rnacentral:lncRNA from 1 species